rnacentral:lncRNA from 1 species
ACACAUGCUCAAAUUGCAAUCCACUUAACUAAACUCUAAAAUUUCUAUUAGAGUUACAGCCAUAACCAAUUCAGAUUUUAAUUCAAACCAGGAUUCGGACACAAAUUAAUAGAAUCAAUAACACUACUGUCAACAUAAUCUAACAAUCAAGCCUAUACAACUAAUCGACGACAUUUAUCUAAUCAAUAAUAGCACACAUAAUCGAUAUACAAUAACCAACACAAAAAAAUGUGAUUCAUAAAAAUUUGGACAAAAUAGGAGAUUAUGAAACUAAUGACUCGACGAUAUCAAUCGAGUAGAAUUUGGGUUACAUAACAGACACAACUAUCAAACGAACAGAAGGAAUUUGACCGAAUAAAAGGUCUUUAAUUCAGAGAAGAAGAGAACAGUUGAUAAAAAAUAAAAAAAAUCAAUAAUAAUAAAAAAUAAACUAAUAACGGAUAUUAACCAGUAAGAAUAAAAGAUAAGAAGAAGGAAUACCUCAGAAGAAAAAUCAGAAAUCAACGGACUUGGGCCAAUUUCGGACUUUGAACUUUUGAGGUCAAACGGAUUUUACUUGAACUGUUCUCAAUUGAGAACACCUCAAUUAAAUUCAAUUAGACCUCAAACCCUAAUUAAUUUGAUGGAUUCCCUAAUCUGGUUUUCUAGGUUUUUUGAGGGCUCGAUUAGGGAUUUAAACUUUCUGGUUAGAUUCGAAUGGGAUUAAUGGUGGUUAAAGCAUGAGGGAGGACAGAUGGGUUGUUGGUGUGACUUUGGGGCCGAUUGAGAUGGGUUCGAGUUUUUCAUGAAUCUUCAAAUGAAGAUUCGAGAAACGCCAGGUUGAUUCGAGGUAAUAUGAGGGUGGAUUCGUGGAGAGAGGAGUUAGGUAGUUCAGGGGUGUUGUUUGGGUGGCCGGCACCGUCGUUGUCGCCAGGUUUCUAGUGAAGGUGUGGGGGGAGGCUCUAGGGUAUCACUUGUGUGUUUGGGAGCGUCUCUGAGAGAGACGGAGUUGAGAGGGUAGUGGAUUGGGGGUCGGGGUAAUGACUUAGGUUUAUAUAUUAAGGGGAAAAACAAAUCAUGGCUGUUGGAUGAGGAAAUCUAACGACCCUAAUCAAGUCCAUCAAAAUUGAACGCGGUCGUUUUGGUUAAGUGUGGCUCGGUGAAGAAAAUGGAUAAUGGGUCGGGGCUGGAUACGGGUUUGAGAGACGUGAUCCUGGCCAUUGAUCCAUUUGAGAUCAACGGCCCUGCUUAAUUGUGACAAAAAUAGCACGUUCAGGCACCUUUGAGUGGUGGACCAAUUGGACUGGGCAAAGGCAUACAUUUUGGGCCAGAAUUUUGUUUCAAAAUUAGCCCAAGUCUGAAUUCUUUCUAUUUUGACCUAUUUAUUCCUUCUUCUUCCUUUUUUUAUUUUAUUAUUUUUUUCUUUAAACUCCUAAUUUAUAAAAACCCUAAAACAAAAUAUAAAACUUCAAUAUAUUAAAAGGACAUUAAUUGACAAAAAACAUAAUUAAACACAGAAUAACAAACAUUAAUAAAAUAAAAUCACACCAUUAAACCAUAAGAAUGACAAAAAUUGCCAAAAAUAAUAUUUUUAUUAUUUUCAUUCUUUUAAAACCAAAUACGAUUCAAUUAAUUCCUAAUAGUAGAAUAAAAUCCUAAAUUCACACGCUACACCUAUUUUUUAUAUUUUAAAUUAAUAAAAAUAAUCAUUCAACAGACAAAACUACAAAUAAUACCACGCAAAUUUUCAAAAAUAAAGAUAAUUUGUUUUAUUUUUUCGAUUUCUUUUGGAUGAAUUAUCGUGGAGCAAAAAUCACGUGCUCACACACACCCCCAAUCAAUCCAUACACAAAAAUAAUAACCCUGGUAGUGUCAAACAACCUGAAAAUGUAAUGUCGAACGACCAACCAACCACCCUGCCAUUAUGUGGUAUUUAUCAACACCUUUCUUUCCAAAACUCCACAAAAAUAGUAUCAAAAGAAACAACCCAACAGCAACAUGAAGCAGCUCACAAAACAGUCACGACUUUCAAUCACCAUCCUGUGAGUUCAUUUAAUUAUUGAACGAAUUCUCUAGUUUUACAGAAGAAAAAAUGGUUGAAAUAUUGCAGUAUUCUUACCUUAUUUGGUGAAUAUCUCAACUCCUAUCUUGGCUCAUCAAUCCUUAGGUUUUUCUCCAAUUAGAUCUUGGAACGAAGAGAAAAGCGUUUAGGGUUUUGUGUUUAAUUUUUGGGCAAAUAUUUCUAGGGUAUACCCCUGAUUUGUUUGCUUUAUUAUGAGUGUAAUAUCUAAAGAAAAUUAUUCCUUCAAAAAGGCACUUUUUCUAGCCCAAGCUAUCACUUUUGUCGACAUGUUUCGUCCUUUCAUUUAAACAAGUAGGUGACACACCUGCUUGUUACCUAUGCUGUCUGUGUAGUCUCACAAAAAAUACUAAUAUCUCUUUGCUCCGAUAUCGUAUGGACAAAGAAUUUAAUGCGCUCGAAACUAGACUCAUGGAUCUUCAAUUUGAUAGGUGGAUUAUCCCGUAACUCCAAGUAUAUUGAGAUAUAAGCUCAAAUACAUUUGACCUAAAUUACACCACAUUUAUGAAUGUAACUUGUGAUGCCCUUGACCAACUUUUGCUCCACGACUUGUUUGACUUCAAAACAUAACACACGACUUCCAUACGAUUAACAUAACUCAUAACAUAACCUUCUUAUAAUUUUGAGAUCCGUAGUCUCACCCCAAAAAUACAUGUUAUAACCUGCCCAACUUUUUGACCUAUGACGAAACUUAAUUUCUUCAAUUUUUUUAGCUUCUAGGUCGUCCAACCCUCUUGGUACUUGCAGUUCAUGAUGUUUAAUAUUUGUAACCUCCAAGUUAACAUGAUUAACUUAUUAUAUAUACUUUCAAAGAUGAUCUCAUUUCUGAGCUUAAAUCAAUUGACUUACGAUGUACUCCCACGUACAAAAAUAUGCGGUGUAACAACUCGGGAGGUAAUCGUUCUGCAAACAGGAGCAAUCAUCACUCCGGUUUUGGUUCGCAACGUUCACAUCCUUCGACUACCUUAAACGUAACCGACUACAAGUAACUGACUACCUUGUGAUACACUCGUAACAUUCAUUUUGCAUUCAUGACUCCACCUAAAAUUAUCCGUUAAAUACAACACUACCGUACCCAAAAAGAACCUUUUUGGUACAUACAACCACUCUUAGAACAACUUUAUCCGUUUCAUCCACUGUUGAAAUGUAGAAUGCCAAAAUAGCAUUCUAUAUUUUUAUUAUUUUGAGAUAUUAGUUUUAAUCAUUUUACUUUUUACUAUUUAUUGGAUAUUUCAAUAACUUUAUUUUUAAUUAAUUGUAUGUAUUUUAAAAUGUGGCCCAAAAUAAGCCAUUUUCUGACUGAAUUGGCGGCCCAAACACCCACACACCUUAGUCCAAUAACCCCAGCCCAAACCAAACUAUCUUUUAUUAGACCUGGCCGGUACCCAUUUUACAUACCAGCCUGGUUCCUUUUUUUAUCUUGGUCAUUGAUCUCUAAAGAUUAAUGACCCUCGUUAACCCAAGCCUUCUAAUUAGCCUAACCCGAAAAUGUUAGCCCCAUUUUUCUGAGACGACCGCCCUGGAUUCUCUUUGUUCCCUCUUCUACUCUCAAACCCCAGUGGCCGCCUCUUAUAUUCUUCCAACUCCAGUUCUUAUAUGGAAUCUCUCCAUGAUUUUCCUUCCAUAUAUGCUCGAUCUCUCCGUUAUUUACAUGGUGUUGGUAUCACAUAAUACUUGCCUAUCUUUGCCAAGUAUGCAGUCCUAAAUCAAGCAUAAUCAUCAUUGAAUUCUCAAUAUCUUAACGUGUUUUCAUCCAUAUGCAACAUAGCAGGGUUAUGUGGGUCUGGUUCACCAAGAUCCUUGGUCGAUUCUUUGAUUUCUGUCGAACUAGGGUUUGAAACUUGAAUUUUUUUCUAUACUCGUACUAUUAUCAAUUGCAUGUGAUACUUCCUUUCCUUAUUUGUGUUUGAUUAAUUGUUUCAUAUUUGCUUGUUUGGUUUCUCCCACUAUAUAACCCCUUCCAAAUUUUCCGUUUAUACAGACCUUAAUCAUGAUUAUUCUUUCAUUCUCACUCAUUAUACUCUGAAAUCUGAAACCUUUGCCGACUGAAAUCCAAGGUCAUUCAAACACGAUUUUGUUCAUUCAUAGUGCAAGCACUACCCGGGGUUCAUUCUAAACCCUUUGGAACUCUGACGCACUGGAAUUUUGGGUAUUAUGCUAUUUUUUGCUAUAGUUAAUUGAAUUACUGCUGGAAAUUGCUUUUCUCAUUUGCUAGUUCGUUAAUUGGCAACUUUAAGUACCUUUGGCUCUUGCAAUUUCAUUUAUUAUGUGCUUGUGUUCAUGCUCUGUCUAUCAGUCAAUUAAGCUUCAGUGAACCAAUAUGCUACUAUGUAUAUGGUCCUCUUUGCUUUGAAUUUAUCUUGUAGCCUUAUGUUUCCUAGCAUUAGAACUUGACUAAAGCUCUAAGUUUUGAUGUAUGCCCAUGACCUCUAACUGUCUUAAGCCUGCUUAGCUUAGUAUGUUUAUAUAUGGAUGAUUUCUAUUCUGUUACUUGUCAUGAGUUCAUCUCUGCUUGUUUCAUAUUCUUGUAAUAUAUUAAUUCAUACCUAAUGUAUCAUUUCCAAUUGAGUCAUUCAUGUACCAUAUGUUAACUUCAUUAUGAUUUAUCUACGCUCAUGUUAUUUCCAAAAUACCAGUAUUGCCUGAACUUCUAAACCAGCAUGACAUGUUUUCUUACUGUUUGUAAAUUUAGUGUAUACUCUGUGACUUAUUCAAUUUUGUGUUCUUAAAAUAUUUCUUAAGAUUCCAAUACAUCGCAUAUAUUUUGUACAUUAAUCGGUAUAUGUCUUGAUACCUACCUAUCUUAUUAAUCUUGGUACUAUUUCUAAACUUUGUUAUUAUGACUGAUGCUCAGAAUGUUAAGUUUUUCCCAUGUUCAACUAGGUGAUUACUUGAAAACCAUUAUAGACUAGUCCAACAAGCCUAUUUGAUAUGAUCGUACCUCUACUAAGCUCUCAUGUUAGAACUUCUAGGUGAAAACUGCCAGUUCAGUUGUUCCUGCAUUUGAUUCUGCUAGACCUUCAUGUCAAAGCUCUUAUGUCUAAAAGUCCUUUAGGCUAAUUCUAGAGCAUGCUUUGCUCUACACUUCUCUUUGGCAUAGUUUAUUAUCCUAUGUUGGUCCAUCAUGUCACUCUUAAAGUUUCUUUCUGAAUUACAAUACUAAACUUGCCUCAUAGGUGUCAUUUGUGCUUUUCAAUUUAGCAUGAUCUUGUUUAUAUUUCUUGGCUAGAGCUUCUAUUAGCUAUAGCCUUAAGAAUUAAGUGUUUAAGCAAUUUUAGUUAAAUUCUAUAAGUAUUUCAUCACUAGUAUGGCUGAGUUUGACAUGUGUUUGGGUAAGUAAGUGUCGGGUAAUGCAUGUUGGUUUUGGGCGCGGAACUCAAGUAGCUAUAAAAAGCUGAUGUCUGAGUUAGAUAUUGUGCGAAGAUUAAGACCAUUGAAGGACUGGGGACAUCCCUAGGUUAUUUAUGAUUGGACCUAUAAUGGCCUCAUUGGGCAUUUGUUAGUUCAUACUUGUAAUUUGUCAUCACGUAUCAUUUCUUCUUGGUCCUGUAAUAAAUUAUAAACAAAUAAUUGGGGAGUUGGUGAAAUUGGGGGAUGGGUGUGCUUUAUAAAGUGUAGAGAACAUGCCAAUAGGAUCUACGUGCUUUAUUUGCUAUUUCGUUUAAACUUGCUCUAUUGAUGCACACUAGAAGAAAUCAUGUCUAUAGGAAUCAAAUCCACCCCACCUAAUAUGCAUAAUAUUCAUACACUAUCUCAAACAUGUUAGCAAUCACUAUACUUGAUUUUCAUGUCAGUACUGUGCAUUUAGACAGCAUGCUUAUAUGAUGUAUAACAUGUUCUUUUGUUAACCUAGAUACCAUGCCUAUAAGACUUCAAAUAACCAAUUCGUCAAUUUCUUCUAUUAAUUUUAGUGUACUUACCAUCCAGAUAUCAUGACUAUAGGACAUUGACCUUUUAAUCAACUACUUCAAUUGUUUUCAUUACACUAUCUCGCCUAAAAGACAUGCCUAUAGGAUUAAAGUGUUGUGAAAUCAAGAAUAAUGGUCAAUUGUUAGUAAUCUCUUAUAUAGGGUGUCAUCACUUGCAUAAGAAUUUUUAUGGGAUCAACAAGGUUGUCUCACAACUCAGUUAUUCAACCACUAGAAAUCACGCCUAUAGGACAGUGUCACUUGCGUAAGGCACCUAUUCAUAGAAACAACACUAAUAAUUCUGGGUUUGCAAAUAGUUUACUGCCUCAUCGCCUAAGACAUUUAGAAUAAUAAUGUUUCAUGAACAAUACCGGAAUGCAGAAUACCUAGAAACCAUGUCCAUAGGACUCUAAGUCUCGAUUCUGAAACUAUGUACUGCCUAAACUACCCACGUGCAUUUGUUGUGUAUGUGUGGAGGUAACUUGGGUCUUUAACUCUCUUUAUGUGAAGUCCUAUCUUUUUGAAUGUUGCUUCAUUUUAAAAUUUUGAGCUACCUAAGUUAAGUCUAGAACAACCUAAUAAUAGGUCCAAAGCCUUCUGGACCAUAAGCAUGGGAUGGGUAGUGCACGCAUAGGAUACAGUUUAGAAUUGAAUUAGAACACCUUUAAGUAACAACUUCAACAUAGUAAUUGGGUAGCUCGAGAUGAUACUAUGUGCUCGCUGAAUAAUAUGAGCAAUCCUCUAUCCUAAUGGAGUUACGAUGUAUUAUUUACAUUGCACGGGUGAUCCUUAGGCUAAAAUAAUAAGGACCCCCCCCCCCCUUUUCUUUAUUAACUUGUUAUUUACACAGUCAUUUAACAAAUACCAAUGUAUUUAUAUCUUUUUAAUCAUUAAGGAUUUGUACCAAUUCGCAAUGUGUUAUGAUAAGACUGUUGGACUUCUAAUCUUUCUUUAUUUAUUUGAUCCCCUAGCCUAAUUACAUAAUCCACAUAGUUUAAAGUUUGGUCGGGACCCAGUUGUGGACUUCGAAGAGUUCCAAACAUCUUCUCUAUAAGGUAAUUUGAGCGCUUACCCAAUCUUUGAUGGCACAGACUAGUUAAAUUAGAGUCAUUUUUAGUUAGGUGCCCUCACGCACCUUAAAAAUCGUUAGGUGGAGAGUCUCAUCUUUUAUUACCAUUUAAAAGAGUUUUCAAACGUCUAAACCCGCUUUCACGAGAAAAUGAGGCGCGGUAGUAGGCAACAUCACGAACAUGCCGAUCAGCGUAGAUAUUCUAUUUAGACUGCAUUGUGCGAAGUCAGUCUUGAAUCAACCUAACAUUGUCCAAAGCAUCGUGAGCCAAGUCAGUACCCAAUAGCCUAGCCUCACUCGUCUCAAACCAACCCACCAGAGAUCGACAUUGCCUCCCAUACAAAGCCUCAUACGGAGCCAUCUGAAUGCUUGAUUGGUAGUUUUUUUUGUAGAACUAGGUAAAUGGCAGAAACUGAUCCCACGAACCCCCGAAAUAAAUGACACAAGCGUGUAGCAUAUCCUCCAAUAUCUAAAUAGUGCGCUACGAUUAGCGUUCUAUCUGAGGGUGAAAAUUUAUACCCAACUCAACCUCUGUGUCGAACCCUCGCUGCACUACUCUCAAAUAUUGCAAUGUAAAUUGCGUACCGCGAUCUGAAAUAAAUGACACCGGCAUACCGUGAAGGAAAACAAUCUCACGGGUGCAGAUCUGUGCCAACCUCUCUUAAGAAUAGGUAAUACCAUCUGGAAUGAAAUACAUUGACUUGGUCGAUUGAUCCUUAAUUAGCCAAAUAGCAUAAAAAAUCUUCGAAGUCCAUGUGAGUCCAACUACAAAAUAUAUGGUGAUGCGCUCCCAUUUCCACUCCGGAAUCUCGAGCCUCUGGAGCAAUCCACCUGUCCUCUGAUACUCAUAUUCACUUGCUGACAAUUUAGGCACCACGAUACAAACCUCACUAUAUCCUUCUUCAUCCUCUUCUACUAAGAACGCUGCCUCAAGUCCUGAUACAUCUUUGCGUCACCAGGGCGAAUGGAAUACCGCAAACUGUGGGCCUACUCAAGAAUCAACUUACAUAACCCAUCAACAUCGGGUACGCAUAUUCGACCCUGCAUCCUCAACACCUCCAUCUUCCCCAAUAGUAACAUACCUGGAAUCACCGUGUUGAACUAUGUCCAUAAAGAUGAGUAAAUGGGGAUCAUCGUACUGACGCUCUCUAAUGUGAUCAUAUAAGGAAUACAGAGAAACCACACAAGGUAGAACCCGACUGGGCUCCAAAAUCCAAUUUCACAAAUUAGUUGUCCAAGGCCUGAAAUUAUUAUGCAAGUGGUCUCUCAGCAACAUGAAUAAAUGCAAAGUUACCCAUUCUCGCCGCAUUUUGACUCAAGACAUCGUUCACUACAUUGGCCUUCUCAGGAAGAUACAAAUUGUAAUAUCAUGGUCCUUUAGCAGCUCCAACUAUCUCCACUGUCUCAAAUUUAGAUUGUUUUGUUUGAACAAGUGCGGAGACUCCGGUCAUCCAUAAAUACCUCACAAGACACACCGUAGAUAAUGCCUACAAAUCUUCAAUGCAUGAAUAAUGGGUGCCAACUCCAAAUCAUGAACAUGGUAAUUAUUCUCAUGAGGCUUCAACUGGAGAGAAUCAUAGGCAGUGACUCUACCCUCCUACAUCAAGACACACUCAAUACAAAUCCGAGAAGCGUCACAAUACAUUGUAUAAGUGCCUAACACUUAAGGCAAAAUUAGAAUUGGAGUUGUGGUCAAGGGAGUCUUGAGCUUUUGAAAGCUCUCCUCACACUCAUCUGACCACCUGAAUAGAGAACCCUUCUGGGUCUGUUUGUUCAAAGUCACUGAAAUGAACGAGAAGUCCCCCAUGAAGCAACGAUAAUAUCCAGUAAAGCCGAGAAAACUCCUAAAUUCGUAGUUGAAGACGGUCUGGAGCAACCCUGAACCGCUUCUCUCUUCUUUGAAUCCACUUUAAUCCCCUCACUAGACACCACGUGCCCCAAGAACAAACCAAACUAAGACAAAACUCACACUUAGAGAACUUGCCAUAAAGUUUCUACUCCCUCAACCUCGGUAGAAUAAUCAUUAAAUAUUGUGCAUGCUCCUCUUGGCUACGAGAUUGAACCAUGAUAUCAUUAUAAAAUACUAUGACAAAGGAAUUAAUAUAUGGCUAAAAUACAUUGUUCAUCAGAUGUAUGAAUAUUGUUGGGGUGUUGAUCUCGCAAAACACAUCACAAGGCACUUUUAGUGACCGUAGAGGGUUCUGAAUGUUGUCUUCAAAAUAUUCGAGUCCCAAAUAUUCAACUGGUGAUACCCAUAUCUCAAAUGGAUCUUAGGGAACACAUUCGCUCCCUGAAGCUAGUCAAAUAGCUCAUCAUUGCGCAGAAAACAAUAUUUGUUCUUUAUUGUAACUUUGUUCAACUGUUUGUAGUCGAUGCACAUCCACAUAGUACUAUCCAUCUUCUUCACAAACAUAACUGGUGCAUCCUAAGGCGACACACUAUGCUGAAUAAACCCCUUAUCAAGGAGCUACUGAAGCUGCUCCUUCAAUGUUGUUGGUGCCAUAUGAUACGGAAGAAUAGAAAUAUGUUGAGUGCCUGGUACCAAGUCAAUACCAAAAUCAAUAUCCGUGUCAGGUGGCAUGCCUAGCAGGUCUGCAGGAAACACAUUCGGAAAGUCUCACACUACCAAAACAGAAUCAAUAUUAGGAGUAUCAGUACUAACAUCUCUCACAAAGGCCAUAUGUGACACAUCACUUCCCAACCAUCGGUUGGACCUUCAACUAUGAAAUCACCCUACUGGAAACAUAAUCUAGAGAACCUCUCCACUCGAUCUUUGACAAUCCGAGCAUCACAAACAUCAAGGUCUUAGCGUAACAAUCCAGAGUAGCAUGACAUGCAGACAACAAAUUCACACACUAAAUUACAUCAAAAGCAACCAUACUAAGCAAUAAGAAAUCAACUCUAGAAUAUAAUCUUCCAAUAGUCACCACACUUGACCGAUAUACACGGUCCACAACAAUAGUAUCACUCACCAGCAUAGACAUGUGAAAAAGGUGAGACUAAUGACUCACGAGGCAUAUCCAAAUAGCGAGCGAAAUAUGAUGAUACAUACGAAUAAGUAGAAACAUGGUCAAAUAAUAUAGAAGCUUCCAUGUGGCAUACUGAGACAAUACAUGUGAUAAUUGAGUCUAAAUCAAUGGCCUUUGGCCUGGCAAAAAGGAAAAGAAUCGAGCCGGACCGCCACCUCAUUGUUCUCCCCCUCUAGAGAGAAAUCGAACUUCCUUAGCCCCACCUCUAGUUAGCUACACGGGUGGUGAAGUGACUAGUGCAGAAUUACUAACUUGACCCCUCUAUUGAACAGGACCUCCUAAGAGAUGGGGACACUUCCUCCUGAUAUGUCCAAGCUUCCAACACUCGUAGCAACCCUGAUUCCAUCAAUGAUGGUGGGGACUGAAUUGGAUCUCGAGAACAAGAAUAACUGCUAAAGAACCUUGUUCAGAUGAACCUUGAACUGAAGGAGCACGAUAUGAACUCUGAGUUAGGAGAGAACUGAGAGAUAACUGCCCCGGACGAGCAUUGUACGAACCAUGGCUAGCUGAUGCACCACGAUGAACUGGACAAGCUAUCUGAGAAGGCCUAUAAAGACAACUCGUGAUAUGGUAGGAAAUCCCCUAGAAGGAACCCCGCUAGAACCAACUGAACCAUUGAGCUCUUGGCCUCCCUCUCCUUACGCUCGUGGCUACGGACGAACUCUAGCCGCCGAGCAAUAUCAACCACCUCUUCAAACCUAGUACCUCAUGUAUUCUCUAGAGUCAUAACAAAACACAACUGAUAACUGAUGCCAUUAAUGAACCCCCCCCUAAUCCUCUCCCUCUCAGUGGGAACCAAUCAGAUCACAUGGCGAGCCAACUAUAAAAAUUUCGUCUCAUGUUUGGUCACAAAUAUGCCCUCCUAACGUAGCUGCUCAAACUCAUAUGCAACUCCUCCCUGCGGGUUGGUGGCACAAACUUCUCCAAGGAAAAAAUGGAGAACUAACUUCAUGAAAGUGAUGACACAUUGGGGGCUAAUUUUAGGCCAAAAUUGAAAUAGUAAGGGCUUAAUUUUAAAUAGCCACUUUUUCCCUUUUAUUUUGUAAACAUAGUAAAAUAAUUUCUGAAAAUAAAUUACAGGUACUGAUUUAAUUAAUAAUAUAUAAAUAUUGAAUUAAAAUACUGAAAGCAAUUUUGUAAUUAUAAAAUACAAUUAAAUCUCAAAAUAGGAUAAAAUUACAAUUCUAUACAAUUUAGCUUUAAAAUUACUAAGUAAAUAUAUAAAAAUGCGUAAAAAUUACCUUAGCUAUAUUUUGACAUAAAUAUAGUUAUAAAAAAAGUUAUUAACCAAAAUAAUAAUUUGAAGAACAAUUAUUGGUUUUUGUACUGUCAAAAUAGGGUAUAAAUUAAUUUUAAAAUCUUUUAAAAAUUAGAAAAAAUACCAAAGCAUUUGGGCAUCGUUAUAUAUGCAUAUGUAUGCUAUUUUUGAAAGUAUUUUGAAUGUAUAGAAUAUAUAGUAAAAAUUAGGUAUAAACAACAGUGUAUGAAUUCAUACGCUAUACCUUCACGAAAAGUUUGUUUGUUAAGGUAUAAAGCAUGUAAUACGUGCGCUAUGCCUAUGUUUGAAAAGGUGGUCAAAGUCUUAGCAUAGUGUAUCAAAUACAUGUGCUACACCUGAAUGUGAAAAGACAAUCAAGUAUAGCGCAUGUAGAUACCCAUUUAAAUAAACCCAUCGUCUCAUUCCCAAUAGAAGCAAAACAGAGCCCCCCAUUUUAAAAGCAAAAAAACUCCAUUGAGCCCAACACCUUCCCUGAAAUCUUGGAUCGUUAUCAUUUUAUCAAUCUAACAAAUGAUCCAAGGUCAUGCCGUGGAGUGAAACUCGUUUAUUACCCGAUUCGAUGGUCAAAGCUUCAUUCUUCCUCCAUUCAGAAAAAUCCAAAUAGAGGUAUUUCUAAUCACUUUUUUUAGUACAAGUGAUAUAUAUAAUUGAGUAAUUAGGUGAUUAUUAUAUUGUAGGAUUUUGUAAUUGUAUUGUGAAAUCUUUUUAAUUUUAUACAUUUAUUAUCCGGAUUAGUUUAUUGUGUAGCAAAUAUGUAUGAAAAUUGUAUAUUAGUCCUUUGUUGAAUAAUUUAUGUUACAUGUUUAGUAUUUUUAUUGUUGUACAACAAUAGUAUGUGACUUUAGUGUUAUUUAGUUCCCUUUAGCGUUAUAUAGUGCCUUUUAGUGUACUAAAGCUGAUAAUAAAUUUUAAUUUAUGUUAAUUGAUGUUAUUUAUGACUAUUCAGAGAAGCAUGCCUUUAGUUCUCUUUAGUAUUUUUAGUGUAAAAUAAUAUCUUUAUGUCCUCAUUAAUGAACCCGAUUACAGUGCUCAAUUAUGGAUCAAAUUUUAAUCAAUUAUUAAGUGUAUAGUAAAUAUAUUAUCAGAUAUGAAUCAAAAAGUAGUUAUAAAUCAAAGAUUAGAUAUGAUCAUAAAUAAUUAGUUGGCAGUACAAAGAGAUACUGCUGGAUUUUUAUAUAAAAAGUAACAAAUAACAUACAAAUCGUUAUGAACGAAAUAAAUACUUAAUAGUAAUUUUUAAAAAUAACAUCAAAUAGUUAAACAAAUUAAGUAUUUACUUAUCUUAAUGAGGAAUAAUAUUGUCAAAAAAUUGAACACAAACCAUCUAAUACCUCAAACCAUCUACAAAUCACGCAUUCAUCCUCGUGACAGUUAAGCCAACUUCCACAAGUUCUCCAAACUCAAAUUGCAACACAUAUACUUCACCAGUAAAGGAUAACUCUCUGCAAAAUAACAUAGGUAUCACGCAACCUCAGGACACCCACAGGAGAUAGCUCACCUGUUUUGUCUCAAACUGACAUCUCUUUAUAACCUUCCACAGUCACAACAUCUACGCCAUAACUUAAUCUUCCUGAUUCUGAACUCAUAACACAACAAAAAAAUCUACUUAACUUCAUAAUUAAACAACAUGAAAGUUCAUUCAACACACCCAUAACUCGAGACUAUACGUCAAAUCAAGACAAAUCAAGCACCUAAUAUUCCUUUCUACAUCUCAGUAAACUCUUCUCGUCACAUUUGAAUAAUCUAAACACUUCUCGUUGUCACGUCAUGCUCAUUAUAUAGCCAUCCAAUCACUCAUAGAGCCAUAACUUCUAACAAUAUGGACACUACCAGAAUUGUAAGUCGAAAAGCACGUGCUCACAUAACCGAAAUCCCCGUGCUCAGGCAACAGUAAAAAACCGGCCUAAUGUCCUCCAAAAAAAAAUGCCCUCCAUCUGCACACCAAAAUCACAUCUCGCACCUCCUACAUGGAAUCACAUGCCAGCGAUGCAGAGCUGAUACCGAGCGCUCACAUGCACAUUCAAAUGAGUGGAAGGAAUUCGAAGAGUUACGCUUCAAGCUGAAUCAAUGUUGCACAAUAAGGAAAGAAAGAUGGGAAGUAUAUCCUAAAUGUCCUGUAGCCUCUCGAAAAUAGGUAUGGACGUCAUCAUAUUGAUCCGCAAGAGUACGAAAUCUUACCGUCUCACUCUUUCCACUCAUCAUGCUCAAUUACUCAAUAUUGUAUAUGGCCAGUCCGACCUAGGAAAGAUCCAUCCCGGAAUAUACACAUCCAUUGAACCUCGGACUCAGUACUGACUAGGGGAAAAUCUAGCACGUGGGGAAGAUCCAUCCCGCAAUAUAAUCAAUUGUGCUCACUGGGUGUGUGUGCAAACUCUGGAGGGGUUCCUUCAUCCCAAGCACUAUCAUAAAUUAGUAUAACCAUCAUGGUGUGCAACCCGAUCCUAUAAAUAUCACUCACAACCAGGCUUUUGGCCUCACUUAUUCAUCAAUCUCUCUAGUCUCUCGGGCUCAAAAUGCCAUGAAACUAGCCAAAAUGAUGAUAGGAUGUGUUAAUAAAUGGUAACAGAGAAUGAGAUGUAAACAUAUAUAUGUGUGUGUGUGUGUGUAUAUGUGUGUGUGUGUGUGAAUGUAUAUGACUGAGUAUAUAAAGCAAUGAAAGCAGAUAAUUCAAUAGCAGAAAUGGCCUCAGUGGGUUGAAAUAGGAUAAGCAUGUAGCCUAGACUUGGUUUCUAAUAUAGAUCACAACUCAAUAGCUCAAGUAUCAAGAAAUUUCAUAGUUACAGGUAAGAUGAGGUAACUACACAGUACCACAGAAAUAAGUGAGUCAUAGUUCACACACUACACGCCCGCACGCCCGUCAACUAGCAUCUGUGUCACCUCAACACCAAUCAUAUAGCAUAUAAUUUGGGGUUUUAUACCCUCAUACCCAUGCUUAGAAGUAUUAAUUACCUUGAACAAGCCAAUUCGAAUACCAAGCCAACCAAGCAAUGCUCGAAAAAAUCCAUCUCGAGCGGCUCCAAAACGACUUAAAAUUAUCCAAAAACAACUCAAAUACAUCAAAUAAUGCCAAAGGAAUCCAACCCAUAGAUAAACGUUGAAUCUUUAAUCAAAAGCCCAAAAUCAUCAAAAAUGCCCAACCAGGGCCCGCACCUUGAAACCCGAUAAAACUCAUAAAAUCUGAAAAUACAUUUAAUUAUGAGUCCAACCAUGCUAGUUUUGCUCAAAUUCGAUUCCAAAUCGAUGUUCAAAACUCACAAAUUCACAUUAUGAAACGUUAGGCUUAAACCCCCAAUUCCUCUUUAGAAAUUCAUCAACCAAUUGUCAAAAUCGAAGAUAGAUUCAUGAAAUAUGACAAAAACCGAGUAGAGAACACUUACCAUAAUUUAUAUGGUAAAAGUUGCUUCAAGAAUCACCUCAAUCCGAGCUCCAAAAAUGUAAAAAUGGGUAAAACCAUCGAAAUAGAGUACAAUAUACGUUUGCCCAGGCAUCCUCUUAUGCGAAUAGGGACUGCGAAUGCAAUGAAGAAGCAGUCACUGCCCAACUCAGCCAACCACACUAGGGAACGCAUGCAGGCUUACACGAACGCAAUGUUCAUAUUGUAGCAACCUACGCGAACGCAUCUGAGGACUCAUGAACGCGACGAACAAUUCCUCCCUGACAUCAACAAAACUCUAUGUGAUCGCAGAGUUAUAUAGAACCACCAUUGAAAAAUGAAGGAAAAAGUCUAAACUCAAUCUGAAACACGCUCGAGCUGCUCGGAACCCCAUCCAAAUAUACCAACAAGUCCCAAAACAUAAUAUCGACCUGCUCGAGGGCUCAAAUCACACAUAACAAUAUCGAAAUUAUGAAUUGCACCUCAUUUUGAACUUGAUGAACUUUGAAAUUUUUAACUUCCAAAACUCAUGCCGAAACAUAGCACACUAAGCUGGAAUGAACCCAAAUUUUGCACACAAGUCCCAAAUGACAUAACAAAGACAUUUUAAUUCCCUAAACACAAUUCGAAUCCGAUAUGAAAAAAGUCCACUCCCAGUCAAACUUUUUAAAAAUCUAACUUUCCCCAUUUCAAUCUAAACUCAAAUACGGACAUCGAAAUCACAAUCCGGACACACUCUGGAGUCCAAAAUCACCCAACGGGGCUUAUGAAAUCAUCAAAACUCCAAUCCAAGGUCAAAUACUAAAAAGCAAAACUUCAUAAACUCUUCUGAUUUAAAGCUUCCUAGUUGAGAAUCGUCUUUCCAAAUCAAUUCUAAAUAACCUGAAAACCAAAACCGGCGAUUCACACAAGUCAUAAUAUAUCGCACGGAGCUGCUCAUACCCGUAAACUACCAAGUGAAUUGCAAAUGCUUAAAGAAACUGGUAGUGUCGUUAAAAACCCAAACCCGCUAUAUCCUCACAAUCAGGCCCUCGGCCUCACCCAAUCAUCAAUGUCUCUAGUCUAUCGGGCUCAUCUCUCAUAGCCCAAAAAUGAUUAUAUGAUUAAUCAAUAAAUGGUAACAGAGACUGAGACAUGAAAUGCAAAUGCAUGCAUAUGAUUGAGUAUGUAAUUUUAAUAUAAGCAAAUAACUCAAUAACAUAAAUGACCUCUGUAGGUCCCAACAGAAUAAGCAUAUAGCCUAGACAUGGUUUUAUAAUAUAUAUCACAGCUCAAUUACUCUAUCACGUAGAGAUUUUAUGAUUACAGAUAAGAUCAGGUAACUACAUAGUAUUACAGAAAUACCAUGUCACAAUUCACUUGGUGCAUGUCCACACGCCCUUCACCUAGAAUGUGAGUCACCUCAACACCAAAUACAUAAUACAUUUAAUCAGGGGUUCAUACCAUCAACACGAAGUUUAGAAGUUUUACUUACAUCGAACAUGCCGAAUCCAAUAUCGAGAAAGCCAAACAAUACUCUAGAGAUGCCAUUCCGCGCGUACCAACCUAUGAACGUCUCAAAAUUAGCCAAAAGCAACUCAAAUACAUCAAAUAAUGCAUAAGGAAACAAUUCCAAAUGAUAAAGGCCGAAUAUUUAAUCAAAAUCCCCAAGUCAACCAAAUAGCCAAACACGGGCCCACGCCUCGGAACAUGUGAACCUCACAAAAUCUGACAACCCAUUCAAUUACGAGUCCAACCAUACUAGUUUUACCAAAUCCGACUCCGAAUCGAUAUUCAAAACUCAAAAAUUCACUCUAUGAAAUUUUCGACAAAAACCCCAAUCUCCCUCUUGAACUUCUCAAUCAAAAUGCCAAAAAGGAAGAUAGGUUCAUAAAAUAAAAUCAAAAUCGAGUAGAAAACACUUACCCAAUUCAUGUGGUAAAAAUUGCCUAAAAAUCACUUCAAUCCCAAUUUCAUAGCUCCAAUAUGAUAAAAUAGCAUAAACCUCCGAAAUAAAGUACUUUAUAUUCAUAGGAGAGAAAUAUCCUACACGAUCGCAGGACAUUCUUCGCGAUUAGGAAAACAAACUCAGCAGCCUCCAAAAUGGCCUACGCAUUUGCGAAACAUCACAUGUAAACGCGAUGAACACAUGAACCUUCACUAUGCAAUCACGACAAGAUCAAUGCGAAGAAGAAUUUUCAGCCCCCAUCCUCUCAACUCAUCACUACGGGAACGCGAUUUAACUCAUACGAACACGAUGCUCGAGCCUCCAAAGGUACGCGAACGCGUUACCACUGUCGCGAACGCGAUGAAGGAAAAGACCAAUUCCUCUAAUACACUACGUGAUAACAUCCCAGCCUUCACGAUCACGAAUAAGGCUUGAGAUACCAGAAAACCAGCAACUACAUAUGAAUGAAAAAUUGUCUGAAAUACAUCCGCAACUUUUCCGAGCCCCUAAUGACCCCGUUCGAACAUUCGAACAGGUCCCAUAUCAUAACACAGACCUAGUUGAGGUCUCAAAUCAUGUAUAACAAUAUCGAAAUAACGAAUUGCACUUUAAAUCGAACUUAUUGAACUUUGGAACUUUCAAAUUCAAAAACUCGUGUCAAAACAUAUCAAAUCAAUUUGGAAUGUGCAUACAAGUCCCAAAUGACAUAAAGUAGUUAUUCCAAUUCAUGGAACCACAAUCUGAAUUUGAUAUCCUCAAAGUCAUCUCUCGGUCAAACAUAUAAAUUUUCCAAGCUUUCAAAUUUUCAACUUCGCCAAUUAGCGCCGAGACCUUCUAGAAAUAUUCAAAUGCAAAUGCGGGCAUAUGCCCGAGUCCAAAAUCAGCAUCCGAAUUUAAGGGAACUAUCAAAACUCCUAUCCAAGGUCAAAUACAAAAAAGUCAAACUUGGUUCACACAAGCCUAUAAUACAUCAUACGAUUCUGCUCAAGACUUCAAAUAACAGAACAAAAUACAAAUACUCAAAACACAGCAGUCGAUUUGUUGCAGUUGGCCACGGUUGGGGGCAGUUGGUCAUUGUUGGGGCAACCGUUGUUCAUGGCUGGGGCAGCCGUUGGCCAUGGUUGACCUAGACCUUUAGGACAUUACCCCUUUAGAUCUAAGCAAGGGAUUGACCCAUUGAGGUGGACAUCUUCUACCGCAUCUCUUUUCUCAGAUCGCACAUGAUGGGACCCCUUAUCUACAUUGUCGAUUACUGUAAUUUACCACAAUGGGGCAACCGUUGCCACGUUUGGAACCGUUGCCCACAGUUUGGCUUGGCCACAUUUGGAUAUUCUGCUGCUAUUUAAUAAAAUGCUAAAACUUCUUGUACAAAUUUAAGAAUAACAAACGGUUUAAUGUUUUGAAAAUUAAACUAAAAGAUCUUUCCUUUAAUAUGUGGUUCAUAGCUCAACUCAUUAUACAUUGAAAGAUAUAAUAGUUUGAAGUUAGGGAAUGUCAAGUUAUAUUCUUUUUCUUCCUCUCCAAUUCAUUCUAAACUACUUCUACCCUCUACUAAUUAAGCACCUCUAUGACCUUCGGACACAAGGUUUAGGUACUGUACACCUUCACAACUUCUCAGAUUAAUUAUAGAACUAGUAGAUUUAUUCGCGCGUUAAGCUAAAUAAAAAGGCUUCUCUUAAUUUAGUAUGUCUUUCCAUUGAGAUCAAAUUAUAACUUCGGCCAAAGGCCUUUUAUUAAUCUUUUAAGUUUUCACAUAAUAAACCAAAAAUCACAUAAAAAUAUCAUCUAUAUAUAUUUUUCUUUUAAGCAAAUAAGUGAAGCAACAUCAUUCUCUUCUUCUUAGUUUCUUGAACCUAUUUUUUUCCACCCCAAUGAUAAUAUGCCUUUCUCCAUCAUCUGUUGUUGCACUUUCUUUACGACAUUGUUUUUCCAUUCAAUAAGACAUUAUUUAUGAGAAGGGAUUAAUUCCUUCCAUAGAAUCUUUUGAAUGAUAUAUAUCAUUCUCUUCUUCAUAGUUUCUUGAACCCAUUUUUUCACCCCCAAUGACAAUAUACCUUUCUCCAUCAUUUGAUGUUGCAUUUUCUUUACGACAUCCUCUUUCCAUUUAAUAAGAUAUUAUUUAAGAGAAGGGAUUAAUUCCUUACAUAAAUCUUUUGAAUGAUAUAUAUAUCAUUCUCUUUUUCUUUGUUUCUUGGACCCAUUUUUUCACCCCCAAUGACGAUAUACCUUUCUCCAUCAUUGUUAUUGCAUUUUCUUUACGACAUCGUUUUUCUAUUCAAUAAGACAUUAUUUAAGAGAAGGGAGUAAUUCCCUCCAUAGAAUCUUUUGAAUAAUAUAUAUAUAUAUAUAUAUAUAUAUANNNNNNNNNNNNNNNNNNNNNNNNNNNNNNNNNNNNNNNNNNNNNNNNNNNNNNNNNNNNNNNNNNNNNNNNNNNNNNNNNNNNNNNNNNNNNNNNNNNNNNNNNNNNNNNNNNNNNNNNNNNNNNNNNNNNNNNNNNNNNNNNNNNNNNNNNNNNNNNNNNNNNNNNNNNNNNNNNNNNNNNNNNNNNNNNNNNNNNNNNNNNNNNNNNNNNNNNNNNNNNNNNNNNNNNNNNNNNNNNNNNNNNNNNNNNNNNNNNNNNNNNNNNNNNNNNNNNNNNNNNNNNNNNNNNNNNNNNNNNNNNNNNNNNNNNNNNNNNNNNNNNNNNNNNNNNNNNNNNNNNNNNNNNNNNNNNNNNNNNNNNNNNNNNNNNNNNNNNNNNNNUAUAUAUAUAUAUAUAUAUAUAUAUAUAUAUAUAUAUUGUAUACUUGCGGCAUGCAUAAUUCACAAUACUAAUAAGUUCUCUUACCUAUAAUUUUCAGUUACAAAAAAAUAAAAAAAUAUGUUCUUUCAAGUAUUUAAUUUUAAGUUUGUGCAGACCAAAUACUUACCUUUAAAUUUAGAUAUUGUUAAAUUUCGCCAAUAGAGAAGUAAUCUUCGCGAUCAUCAAAAAUAAUACUUUCAGCCUUUGAAUUCAAACAUUAUAACAUUAUAGCCGAAAUAAUUUUUCAGAUUUCAAAAGCAAUAUAACUUGCAGCCUACAGGCAGUAAAUGAAAAUCCUUUGGCUAUAAGUUCACACAAGUCACGAGCCCCAACUUUUUUCUAUUGCUACUCAUUUAGACAAUGAAUUGAACGAGCAAUAGAAACACAAUAAUAUACAUCGCCCAAAAAGGAAUACAGACAAAGCAGAAUUACACCAAUUUUCUACUCAUACUAACCACCCUGGUAUCUUGAGUUGAUAGCAUAAACAGACUAAAUGAAGAUGUACCAUGAAAUGCUAGAUAUUUAUUUGGUGAGUAGGUCUGUGUAUAUACAGUGGUGUACAAGAUUAUCACAUACAAAAAGUGAUAUUAUAACGCCUUUAAAGGCAAGGCAAUGGGCAAGAUAUAAAGGCUGCAUGAUCCCCCACGUCGCUAUUAUAUAUAGUUGCCUAAUGUUGGAGGGAUAUUAUUUCAUUCAUUUAUGGUAAUAGAAAAUGAAAAGAAGUGUUACAAUGAUGCACAUAAAUGUAUAAAUGAAUAUGGUCCUCCUUAAUUGAGUAAUGCAUGAACUGUUUCUUACAAUAAAAUAAAUAGAAAAAUAAAGGAAGUGAGUAGAGGAUGCACCGCUACAUAAAAUUUAGUAGUGGGACUUCUUGGCCUCUUGAUAAAAUAUAAAUUUAAUUCAAUGAAAAUGAUAAGAAUAAAGGGGGAUAGGUCCAAAAAAAAAAGGAGAAAAAAGAUAAGUAGGUUUCUUGGCCAAAAAGAUAUACCACAUCACUUUUUCAUUUCCCUCUUUUAUAUAGAUAUAUAGAUAUAGAUGCUAGGGGACUAACAAUAUAUUUUGAUAUCUUUUUAAAUUUUUAUUUUUAUAGCGAUUGGAUAUUAUACGCACUACUUAUAACAAAACAAUAAUAUUUGAAUCUUAUUUGACUGUUAUAUACAACUAAUAAUUCAAAACUGUAAGUAGUUUCAUUUCUUAAAUGAAAUAAAAUAUUAAAAAAAUUAUUGAAAUUUAAUGGCACAUUUCUAACUAGCAAUUAUGUAUUGAUGUAAUAUUCUUUCUUAAAAAGAGGUGUAUCUUUUUAAAUAUUCAAUUAUAUUUGGUAAAAAUACUAGAUCUAUUAUUCAUUAACUUAGACAUUCUAUCUCAAUAUGUGACUUUAUGACAGCAAAGCAUUACUAGAUCUUUUUUAUUAUCAAAAUAAAUGUCAAGCAGCUGAAGUAAAAAAUAGUAAAAUUAAUUACUCUCUCUUCUAAUUUAUAUGAACUUAUUUCCUUUUUGGUCCGUUCCGAAAUAAUUGACCCGUUUGUAAAUGUGGUAACAAUUUAAUUUAAACUUACAAUUCUACCCUUAAUGAGAAGCUUACAUGACCAAACAAAUACUUUGGGCCUCUUUUUGAUUUGUUUAGCGAGAAAUUUAAAAAUAGCCAGAUUUACCAUUGGUCGUUGAAAAAUAGCCAAGUUUCAAAAGUCAUUAAAAUUUAGCUACUUUAAAUCUGAGCGAAAGCACUGUUCAAAAUCCGGAAAAAUACGCCCGCAAAUUUUACGGGAGUUCCAGCAUAAGUAUGCCUGAACUCCCGUAAAUUUUAUGGGAGUUCCAGGAUAACUAUGCUGGAACUCCCGUAAAUUUUACAGGAGUUCAAGUAGAAUUAUGCUGGAACACCCGUGAGGGAGUUCUAGCAAGUAUAAUUGUCCAGUAUAAUAUACUGGUGUUUAGCGCACUGGUGCUCCAGUCUCCCAUAAAUUUUACAGGAGUUAGCAAAGUAUACCGGUCCAGUAUAAUAUGCUGUAGUUCGUACACAAAUGCACCAGAACUCCCAUAUAUUUUACUGGACCGGUCCCUGUUGCAGCAAAAUAGUGGCUAUUUUUCAUUGACUUGGUAAACGAUGGCUAUCUUUCAUUGACAAGUGUAAAAACUGACUAUAUCAUGAUAUUUUAACAUUUAUUUAGGAUCAUAAAUUCCAAAAAAAAAGUUAUUUUUCUUAAACUUCAUGGCUAAUCAAACAGAUUCACAUAAAUUAAAAUCGAUGAAAUAAUAUUUUUGUAGGACUGUUAUGGAAGGAUAGUUUUACAAAGAGAUAACGAGAUAAUGAUGAUCGCUGCUAUUAUAGGAAGAAUGUUGUUAUAAAAAGGUUAAAUAUAACUUAAAAAUUAAUUUCAAAGAAAAAAUUUUUUUUUUGGUAGAAACAAAGAAAAACUUGACUACUGUGGUGAAUAUUGUUAUGAUAGAUAAUUAUAAAAACGAGUCUGAUCGUAGUUCUAAAUACAAAUUCGUCUGCACAUUAAAUUGUAGCAAUAUGUCAUAUUGUUUAGCUCAAAAUUUAAAUUGGUUUUAUAAGUAUAAAACAAUGGAAUAGAUGGAGGGUCAAUCAUAGAAGCUCGUAAUAAAUUCAAAGACUAAAGGAAUAAGAUAUAAGAGACAAUAGAUACUAGAUAAAUGGAAGAGGGUGAAGAUCUUUUAUAAAUGAUAUUGGUUUUGUCUGUCUCUCCAUGGAGAGGUUCAGACCCUUACAAUGAUGUAUUGUCCCUUCUUUUAGAAGUAGAUGUGAAGAAGAAGAAGAAGCACCCCCUUUUAGGGUUUUUCUCUUAGUAUUUAUAGGUAGGAGAUUUGCCAGCUGGCAUCAAGGAGUUGGGACCACAUAGAGGGAACGCCUUCGUGUGGGAGGCCGAACUGUGGCUUCAAUUGUCAAAUUGGAUAACUACCCGAUGAUUUUGUGAAUAGAUGGUCAUACCAUUUAUUAGCCAUAAAUAGACUUUAAUAAAUGUGUCGAUCUCAUUCAUCAUCAUGGGGUCAAGUUUUGACCCAUACAGAUAGUCCCUCCGCUUAUUGAGGUCGAGCUCGAUGAGCGGAUUCCACCAAUAACCUUAUCAGUUUAUGCGUUGGGGACAAUCGCGGUCCUUUAUUCUUUGGAGGUGGCCGUAGCCGUUGUUUCUUCAAAGAUGGCUGUAUCCAUUUUUUAAUUCGGAGACGGUUGUAGCCCUUUAUCUUUCGGAGAGGCCAUAGCCAUUUUCACUUUGGAGAUGGCCGUAGCCUUUUAUCUUUUAGCGGUGGCCGUAGUCAUUUUUACUUUAGACAUGCUCAUGGCCAUAUUUACUUAGGAGACGGAUGUAACCAUUUUCACUUUGGAGAUGGUCGUAGCCUUUUAUCUUUUAACGAUGGUCGUAGCCAUAUUUACUUAGGAGAUGGCCAUAGCCAUUGUCACUUUGGAGAUGGCCGUAGCCUUUUAUCUUUUUGCAGUGGUCGUAGCCAUUUUUACUUUAGAGAUGGUUGUAACCAUAUUUAUUUAGGAGACGGCCGUAGCCAUUUUCACUUUGGAGAUGGCCGAAGCCUUUUAUCUUUUAGCGGUGGUCGUAGCUAUAUUUACUUUAGAGAUGGUCGUAACCAUAUUUACUUAGGAGACGGCCGUAGCCAUUUUCACUUUGGAGAUGGCCAUAGCCUUUUAUACGUGCAUGGGGAGAGUACGAUCACGAUUUCCGCAUUAUAAGGGGAAUAUCAUACGUAAGGUGACACAUGGGGCGUGCCUAUGGCACCGUGGGGUUGUCACAACUGUUUCAUGGGGGACGUACUGAUUGACGGUUGAAUGACUGUUCAAUGGUUUCUGUCAUGAUGGUGCCCGUUACCGUAGGUCUGAACCGUUCUGCGGUUUGUCGGGUAGUUAAUAGUGACCUUUGGGUUUCGUGAGGGUCAUUCACAUUUUGCCUAUAAAUAAAGGGUUGUGUUGCUGAGUUCUCACUUUUCCGAUAUCUGUCUAAGUAGAAUUCUGAGGGAGAUAAGCUUUCUUACUUUUAGAUUGUCUGGUUUUUAAAUUCUUCUUGAUUCGUUCUCCGUUAUUUUCGUCGGAUCUUCAUAUUCUCUUGUUUUUCCAGGAAAUCUUACAAUCUUCUUUCCGUUAUAUUGAUAAUGGUGAGCAGUUCCCGAUUCGAUGCAGUUCCAGUGAUGGUUGCGGCGGCAGAGGGUCCAUCUACGAUGGCGGGAGCCACUGAUUCACCGACCGUUGAUCGGUUCCCGUUGUUGAUCGAUAUUCUUUCCCUUCCCGGUGGUCCGGCGUCCGAUUUUACCGACCCUGAGGGAAAAGAUCAAGUGGACGAGGCUUCUUUGAUGGGGGAGGCUGGCAUAGCUCAACUGAAGGAGCAAUGUGAGAUUCCUCGCUUUGCCGACAUCCUCUUGGCCAGGACCGGCGACAGGGUGCAUGUUGACCACCAAGGGUACUGCGUCUUCUACGCUUACCUUCUUAGGCUGGUAUUUAGGCUUCCUCUCCCCAUGUUAGUGGUGGAUCUUUGCCGCCAUUACAGGGUAUGCACUGGUCAUCGCGUCCCCUACUGCUAUAAAUUAUUGACGAUGCUGAUUAAAUAUGCGGAGUUGGCACGGAGGAAAGUUACACUUGGGCACGUGUAGACAUUGUACGCUCCUCAAAGGGUACGUGGCACUAUGAUUCGGUUGGUCCCUCGUGGGAUCGACGGCUUGGCUCUAGAGCUCGAUGAUGAGGUCGCUACCCAUCUCUUCGAGUAUUUCUUUUACAUUAGGACUGUGCACCUGGUGGCGUGUGACAGUGGCUUCUCGGAGGAGUGGAACCAUGCACGUAAGUUUCUCUUAUGCUGCCUUUGAUUUCUUUUGGGCUGAAUGUUCUGCUCUAUGUUUGUGCGUAAUGAUCUUCUUUUUUUGCCAUAGCGGAAGGUGCGCCACCAGCGCCAAUUUCAGGCAUCCGUGUAUGGGUUAAGGCCGUGCUCCUUGUUACAAUAGGGAUUCGCACGUGGGCAUCUUUCGGUCCAUGGCCGUAGACUGGCUACUGGUAAGAAUAUGAUUUGUUGUUUACUGCUUUUUUUUCGUAGUCCUUAGUUCUUCUGGCCUAAACCUUUGUCUCUGGUUGAUCAAAACGACCACGGCGCAGGAGGGCUCCUCGGCUUGCUUUCCGCAACCCGGGGGCGACUGCCCGAAUGAUCACAAUGCCGGUGCCUCGUCCGGUUCCGAGGACUACUUUAGUUGAGUCUUCAGCUGCACACUCUCCGAUUCGGCCCGUGCCUCGAGUUGAGGAAUCUCCAGGGGUCGUGCGUUCCAGGGCGGAGCGAUUGCUGAAUGGAUAUGAGGAAGAAGAUGAUAGGCUGCUGGCUCAGCGUAGGGUAGCGUUCACCCCGGUCUCCCGGUGGUGAUCAGUUUAGAUUCUUCGCCGUCGGCGGAAGAGGGAGGCGCAGCGAACCUUGCACCAGAAGGUGAACACUCUGUGGGGGUUGCCCUGGUUGGCUUAGGCCAAGGUGGUAUAGUCGCUUCGGCGACUCAAGUUUCUGUUCCCGUUGCUGCAAGCGAAGGCGGUUUCUCGGCAGAUGUUUUGGUUGAGAUGGCAGGCGCUGACGUUACAGGGAAUGCGAGCGCGUCGACGUCUCGGGCGGCGGAAGCCUCAACUUCCAGGGUGGCAGGAGGAAUGGGCGUUUCAGGAUAGGGGGAUGAUUCAGGUCCGAUAUGGAUCCCGAGGACAUCCAUCUUGCUCAGGAAGGUUAUACUCGCUCAGCCGUGCAGGCCGAGGGGGAUUAUCAUUAUUUGGAGAUUCCUAAGGCCUGAACCUACUUCUCGAGGAGGAGAACCUAGUAACGAUGUUCGGGGUCCUGUGCUCGGAAGCGGAGAGCACGUAUAUGAGGGGCAUUUGGGACGUCGGACAGAUGGGCGUGGUGGCCGCCCUAAGUAUAAUGGUAUGUGCAAAACUUUGGUUUGUUUUUUUUCCUAGAAUGUCUUCUUGUGUUAACUGUCACUCUGUUCGUUGUAGACAUUUUUCUGGAGGUAGAGAGCAUUAGGCGGGCUAAUGUCCGUUCGGCGAUUUUUGCACGACUGUUGGGGAAGUACCACCUCUACUGUGACCAGUGUCGUAGCUUGCGUGAGCGCAUAAGGAAUGACCCGCGGAACCGGGAGCUGGUAGAAGAUCUAGCAUGGAGGGAGCUUCACAUGCAACAAAUCCUCAGCAGGGUAUCCACUCUUGUGUAGCAGCUCCGCCAAGCGAAUGAAGGGGUGGAUGUUGCAAGAAGGGCGGCUGCUGAGAGGGAGCGCUAAAAUCUGGCUGCAGCUACGGAGGCCGGCAAGGCAUAUACCAGGCAGGUGGCUGCACUGGAGUAUGAGGCUGCCACUUCAAUGAGGCAGGCAUAGGAUGCCCUGGCGAGGACUGAAGCACUGCAGGUGACCAAUCGUGCCCAGGAAAGGGAGCAGGGAUUAGAGAGGGUUGCCGCUGCCUUUCGAGAACGGUCGUUGGAGGGGCGCAUUGUCGUCUGCAAUCGGGUCGCCCGUGUGGAUUGUGGCUUUGGUGGCCGAGAAUCGGUGCUUGAGGGAUUAGGCUGCUGCUUUUGGUCAUUCUCGCGAGCUUUGGACGUACGCCGAGGCCCCGCUCGAUGUGUACUGGCGGCUGUGGGAGGUUGGCGUCGUGUCUGAAGCCACUUAUGAGGAGGCAUGCCAAAAGGCCCGUGAAGGCCGCCUUGACUGUUUUUGAUCCGCCUACCCCCGGGGGAGAUGAUGGAGCUGAGGGUGCUGAUAAUGCUGAAGGGGCGCUGGGGGCGCCGAGUGAAAAGAAGAUUUGUAAUGUUUGUUUAGUUCUUAUUUUCUUUUUCUCUUUUUUCUCUACCAGCCUUGGCAGAUGUAAUUGGGGAUAACCGUGUGUAAAUACUGUGAAUAUAUUUGGUUCUCUUCUUUUCCGUUCGUUUUGCGUUGAAUAUAUUAUAUAUUUUUGUGCUUGUUUACGAGGGUUUUGCUUCAGAGUUUUUCUGUUGGAUAUGUUAAUGGUCCUGACCGGUUAAGUGAUUAUGACCAAUGUCGAACUGAUUCCUUGCCCUAACGAAAGCUGGUGUGGAUGGCCUUGGCCAUAGAUAGACGCUUUUGGUCGUCACUUUCCUCCACUUAUUGGGAGCGGAUUGUGGCCGUAUUUGGUCUGGGGCUGCACAUGGCCUUAGUCCCAGUUCGGCCUUUGUUGAACUACAGGUCGUGAUAAUGAAAAGCAUGGCCUCGUGGUUCGACUUGGGCCAAACUUUACGCAGGUCAAUACUUUGAUUUAAGUUAGUCGUACUUACUUGAAAGGCGGGGCGCUUGGUCCGACCUGGGGUUUGUCCGUGGUUGGACGUUCGGCGGUAUUUGUUUUUGUCUGAUUACGGCCCGGCAAAUAGCCUCCGGGACGUGUGUCCUAAGCUUUGACUCGUCCGUGGUUGAGCUUGUGGUUUUGCGACAGAGGUGAAGGCCCGUGGUUUGAGCUGUCAUUCAACCGUAGUUGAACCUAUACAGUUUUUGAAGGCGUGUAGUCUAAGUUCCAGUUUGACUGUAGUUGAAACUUUGUCAGGAGGUGAUUCGCUUGUAUUGACGUUCAACUGUAGUUGAACUUUUAUGAUAUUCUAAGGCUCGUAGCUUGUAUCGAAGGCGCAUAGACUGAGUCUCUGUUCAACCGUGGUUGAACCUUGAUGUGAAGGCGCAUAGCCUGUAUUGCCAUUAAACUAUAGUUGAAUUUUUAUAAUAUUUGAAGGCGCGUAGCCUGUGUCGAAGGUGCAUAGCCUGAGUCCCAAUUCAACCGUUAUUGAACCUUUAUGUGAAGGCGCGUAGCCUGUUUUUCCAUUCAACCAUUGUUGAACUUUUAUAAUAUUUGAAGGCGCGUAGCCUGUAUUGCCGUUCAACCGUAGUUGAACUUUAAUAAUAUUGAAGCACGUAGCCUGUGUCGAAGGCGCAUAGCGUGAGUCCCAAUUCAACCGUAGUUGAACCUUUAUGUGAAGGCGUGUAGCCUGUAUUGCUAUUCAACCGUAGUUGAACUUUUAAAAUAUUUGCGCGUAGCCUGUGUCGAAGGCACAUAGCCUGAGUCCCGGUUCAACCGUAGUUGAAAAUAUAUAUGAAGGCGCGUAGCCUGUAUUUCCGUUCAACCGUAGUUGAACUUUUAUAAUAUUUGAAGGCGCNNNNNNNNNNNNNNNNNNNNNNNNNNNNNNNNNNNNNNNNNNNNNNNNNNNNNNNNNNNNNNNNNNNNNNNNNNNNNNNNNNNNNNNNNNNNNNNNNNNNNNNNNNNNNNNNNNNNNNNNNNNNNNNNNNNNNNNNNNNNNNNNNNNNNNNNGGUUCAACCGUAGUUGAACCUUUAUGUGAAGGCACGUAGCCUGUAUUGUCAUUCAAUCGUAGUUGAACUUUUACAAUAUUUGAAGGCGCGUAGACUGUGUCGAAGGCGCAUAGCCUGAGUCCCAGUUCAACUUAUUUGAACCGUUAUGUGAAGGCGCGUAGCCUGUAUUGCCGUUCAACCGUAGUUGAACUUUUAUUAUAUUUGAAGGCACGUAGCCUAAGUCGAAGGCGCAUAUCCUGAGUUCCGGUUCAACCGUAUUUGAACCUAUGCAGUUUUUGAAGGCGUGUAGUCUAAGUUCUAGUCCGACUUUAGUUGAACCGUUGUCUGGAGGUGCUUAGCUUGUAUUGCCGUUCAACCGUAGUUGAACUGUUAUGAUAUUCUAAGGCUCGUAGCCUGUAUCGAAGGCGCAUUGCCUGAGUCCCAGUUCAACCGUGGUUGAACCUUUAUGUGAAGGCGCGUAGCCUGUAUUGCCGUUCAACUGUAGUUGAACAUUAAUAAUAUUUGAAGGCGUGUAGCUUGUGCCGAAGGCGCAUAGCUUGAGUCCCAGUUCAACCGUAAUUGAACCUUUAUGUGAAGGCGCGCAGCCUGUAUUUCCGUUCAAUCGUGGUUGAACUAUAAUAAUAUUUGAAGGCGCGUAGCAUAUAUUGCCGUUCAACCUUAGUUUAACUUUUAGUAUAUUUGAAGGCGCGUAGCCUAUGUCGAAGGCACAUAGCUUGAGUCCCAAUCACACCGUAGCCGAACUUUUAUGUGACGGCGCGUAGCCUGUAUUGCUAUUCAACCGUAGUUGAACUUUUAAAAUAUUUGAAGGCGCGUAGCCUGUGUCGAAGGCGCAUAGCCUGAGUCCCGGUUCAACCAUAGUUGAAUCUUUAUGUGAAGGCGCGUAGCCUGUAUUGUCGUUCCAUUGUAGUUGAACUUUUAUAAUAUUUGAAGGCGCGUAGCCUGUGUUGAAGGCGCAAGUCCCGGUUCAACCGUAGUUAAAAAGUUAUGUGAAGGCGCGUAGCCUGUAUUGCCGUUCAACCGUAGUUGAAAUUUUAUAAUAUUUGAAGGCGCGUAGCCUGUGUCGAAGGCGCAUAGCCUGAGUCCCGGUUCAACCAUAGUUGAACCUUUAUGCGAAGGCGUGUAGCCUGUAUUGUCGUUCAGUCGUAGUUGAACUUUUACAAUAUUUGAAGGCGUGUAGCCUGUGUCGAAGGCGCAUAGCCUAAGUCCCGUUCAACCGUAGUUGAACCUUUAUGUGAAGGCGCGUAGCCUGUAUUGCUGUUCUACCGUAGUUGAACUUUUAUAUUAUUUGAAGGCGCGUUGCCUAUGUCGAAGGCGCAUAUCCACAGUACCGGUUCAACCGUAUUUGAACCUAUGCAGUUUUUAAGGCGUGUAGUCUAAGUUCUAGUUCGACUGUAUUUGAACCUUUGUCUGGAGGUGCUUAGCUUGUAUUGCCAUCCAACCGUAGUUGAACUUUUAUGAUAUUCUAAGGCUCGUAGCCUGUAUCGAAGGCGCAUAUCCUGAGUCCCAGUUCAACCGUGGUUGAACCUUUUUGUGAAGGGGCGUAGCCUGAAUUGUCGUUCAACUGUAGUUGAACUUUCAUAAUAUUUGAAGGCGCGUAGCCUGUGUCGUAGGCGCAUAGCCUGAGUCCCUGUUUAACCGUAAUUGAACCUUUAUGUGAAGGCGCGUAGCCUGUAUUUCCGUUCAAUCGUGGUUGAACUUUUAUAAUAUUUGAAGGCGCGUAGCCUGUAUUGCCGUUCAACCUUUGUUGAACUUUUAUAAUAUUUGAAGGCGCGUAGCCUGUGUCGAAGGCACAUAGCCUGAGUCGAAAUUCAACCGUAGUUGAACCUUUAUGUGAAGGCGCAUAGCCUGUAUUGCUGUUCAACCGUAGUUGAACUUUUAAAAUAUUUGAAGGCGUGUAGCCUGUGUCGAAGGCGCAUAGCCUAAGUCCCAGUUCAACCGUAGUUGAAAAUUUAUGUGAAGGCGCAUAGCAUGUAUUGUUGUUCAACCGUAGUUGAACUUUUAUAAUAUUUGAUGGCGUGUAGCCUGUGUUGAAGGCGCAUAGCCUGAGUCCGGUUCAACCAUAGUUGAACCUUUAUGUGAAGGCGCGUAGCCUGUAUUGCCCUUCAAUCGUAGUUGAACUAUUACAAUUAUUAAAGGCGCGUUGCCUGUGUCGAAGGCGCAUAGCCUGAGUCCCGGUUCAACCGUAGUUGAACCUUUAUGUGAAGGCGCGUAGCCUGUAUUGCCGUUCAACCGUAGUUGAACUUUUGUAAUAGUUGAAGGCGCGGAGCCUAUGUCGAAGGCGCAUAUCCUGAGUCUCGGUUCAACCGUAUUUGAACCUAUGCUGUUUUUGAAGGCGUGUAGUCUAAGUUAUAGUUCGACUGUAGUUGAAACUUUUGUCUGGAGGUGCUUAGCUUGUAUUGCCGUUCAACCGUAGUUGAACUUUUAUGAUAUUCUAAGGCUCGUAGCCUGUAUCGAAGGCGCAUAGCCUGAGUCCCAGUUCAACCGUGGUUGAACCUUUAUGUGAAGGCGCGUAGCUUGUAUUGCCGUUCAACUGUAGUUGAACUUUUAUAAUAUUUGAAGGCACGUAGCUUGUGUCGAAGGCGCAUAGCCUGAGUCCCAGUUCAACCGUAAUUGAACCUUUAUGUGAAGGCGCAUAGCCUGUAUUGCCGUUCAACCAUAGACGAACUUUUAUAGUAUUUGAAGGCGCGUAGCCUGUGUCAAAGGCGCGUAGCCUGUGUCGAAGGCGCAUAGCGUGAGUCCGACCGUUCAAUCGUGGUUGAACUUUUAUUAUAUUUGAAAGCGCGUAGCCUGUAUUGUCGUUCAACCGUAGUUGAACUUUGAUUGUAUUUGAAGGCGUGUAGCCUGUAUCGAAGGCACAUAGCCUGAGUCCCAAUUCAACCGUAGUUGAACCUUUAUUUGAAGGCGCGUAGCCUGUAUUGCUGUUCAACCGUAGUUGAACUUUUUAAAUAUUUGAAGGCGCGUAGCCCGUGUCGAAGGCGCAUAGCCUAAGUCCCGGUUCAACCGUAGUUGAAAAUUUAUGUGAAGGCGCGUAGCCUGUAUUGCCGUUCAACCUUUGUUGAACUUUUAUAAUAUUUGUAGGCGCGUAGCCUGUGUCGAAGGCACAUAGCGUGAGUCUCGGUUCAACCGUAGUUGACUUUUAUGUGAAGGCGCGAGGCCUGUAUUGCCGUUCAAUCGUAGUUGAACUUUUACAAUAUUUGAAGGCGCGCCUCCUAUUUCAAAGGCGCAUAGUCUGAGUCCCGGUUCAACCGUAGUUAAAUCUUUAUGUGAAUGCGCGUAGCCUAUAUUGCCGUUCAACCGUAGUUGAAAUUUUAUAAUAUUUGAAGGCGCGUAGCCUGUGUCGAAGGCGCAUAUCCUGAGUCUUGUUUCAACCGUAGUUGAAACUUUUCUGAGUUUUUCUGCAUAACCCGCUUCGUGCUAGGGGCCGGGGUUUGUUUUUUGUUUCAGAUCUUGCCUAGUUGGCACUUGUUGUUUUUCUUGCCCGGCUUGCUCGAAUUGCCAAAGUGCUUGGCAUGCCUUCAUGUUGUCCUCCCUUUCGGCAGGAUCCCGUGUGUAAAGAGAAGGGGUGAGGUACCUUGAGCUCGUUUCUCCCUUAGAUAUAGGGGAUCUGCGUCUUCUCCUUUUUCCUCCUUUCGCUCAAAGACGUGGGGAUGCGGAAUCAAGUUCAUCCCGUGGUUUUUGACUUCCUAUGACCCGAUAUGCCGCUUGGGCUCGUUUGAGCUGGGUUGUUCAUUUUNNNNNNNNNNNNNNNNNNNNNNNNNNNNNNNNNNNNNNNNNNNNNNNNNNNNNNNNNNNNNNNNNNNNNNNNNNNNNNNNNNNNNNNNNNNNNNNNNNNNNNNNNNNNNNNNNNNNNNNNNNNNNNNNNNNNNNNNNNNNNNNNNNNNNNNNNNNNNNNNNNNNNNNNNNNNNNNNNNNNNNNNNNNNNNNNNNNNNNNNNNNNNNNNNNNNNNNNNNNNNNNNNNNNNNNNNNNNNNNNNNNNNNNNNNNNNNNNNNNNNNNNNNNNNNNNNNNNNNNNNNNNNNNNNNNNNNNNNNNNNNNNNNNNNNNNNNNNNNNNNNNNNNNNNNNNNNNNNAGAAGAAGAAGAAGAAGAAGAAGAAGAAGAAGAAGAAGAAGAAGAAGAAGAAGAAGAAGAAGAAGAAGAAGAAGCCCCCCUUUUAGGGUUCUUUCUCUUAUUAUUUAUAGCUAGGAGAUUUGCCAGCUGGUAUCAAGGAGUUGAGACCGCAUAGAGGGGACGCCUUCGUGUGGGCGGCCGAACCGUAGCUUAAAUUGUCAAAUUGGAUAACUACCCGAUGAUCUUGUAAAUAGAUGGCCAUACCAUUUAUUAGCCAUAAAUAGAUUUUAAUAAAUACGUCGAUUUCAUUUACUAUCACGAGGUCAAAUUUUGACGCAUACAAAUAUAUUUGCGUAAAAUAUGUGUACAACACUGGUGCUAUCAAGUUCUUGUCUUCUUAUAUCGUCAUUACUUGUAUACUUAAUUAGGUUGAGGUUUUUGUGAUAAAGACCUACGUAGAAAUCUUGAAAACAUUGGUUCAUAUGAAUAUAUAAUUAUGAUACAUGCAUGAACUAGCCAUGAUACAUUCGAAGAAUUCGAAAUGUUCAAAACUAUAGAAGAAAAAGAUGAUUAGCUUGAAAAGAACCCUCAAGCUAAACAAGGUCAAAGAAAACUUUCAAAAAAGAAAGUGUAAGAUAGUAUUUCCAAUUAUAUUAAAAUAGAAGAGAUAAGAAGAAAGGGGAUCUCAUACUUUCUCCAAAACAAGUUAAAUGAGGUAAUAAAGGGACAUGAGAAAGAAAAAUAAAAGAUAUGAGAAACAAAUUCUGAUUUAGGGUCUGUUCAAAGUAUUUUUAUAAAGUUUGCUUUCUAUUCUAGUGCCAUUUGUGGUUCUGAACUAAGAUGAAAGCCUGUGUGGUUAUGGUUCUUGUCUCAAUGUCCCCAACUUUCUUUUUUCUUUUUCUUUUUCGCCAAAACGGCAACAAUUUUGUUGCUAGAUUAUACACGAUUUCAUUUUCUAUUGUAAAACUCAAUUCGAACAAGGAAAACAGAAGAGGACUACUUAAUUAGGCGAAGACAACUUGUGGUCUGUCCUCAACCAUGAAAAACAAACCUCAUCAGUAGGGGUGUUCAAAAUCAAUUCGAAACCGAAAACCGAUCCAAAUAGAAGCUUAACGGCUUACUGGUAACGGCUUAACGGCUUAACGAACGGGGAACGGAUUGAAUUUUUUUUAUUAACGGCUUAUCGGUUUGGGGAUGAAUUAUUCAAUUNNNNNNNNNNNNNNNNNNNNNNNNNNNNNNNNNNNNNNNNNNNNNNNNNNNNNNNNNNNNNNNNNNNNNNNNNNNNNNNNNNNNNNNNNNNNNNNNNNNNNNNNNNNNNNNNNNNNNNNNNNNNNNNNNNNNNNNNNNNNNNNNNNNNNNNNNNNNNNNNNNNNNNNNNNNNNNNNNNNNNNNNNNNNNNNNNNNNNNNNNNNNNNNNNNNNNNNNNNNNNNNNNNNNNNNNNNNNNNNNNNNNNNNNNNNNNNNNNNNNNNNNNNNNNNNNNNNNNNNNNNNNNNNNNNNNNNNNNNNNNNNNNNNNNNNNNNNNNNNNNNNNNNNNNNNNNNNNNNNNNNNNNNNNNNNNNNNNNNNNNNNNNNNNNNNNNNNNNNNNNNNNNNNNNNNNNNNNNNNNNNNNNNNNNNNNNNNNNNNNNNNNNNNNNNNNNNNNNNNNNNNNNNNNNNNNNNNNNNNNNNNNNNNNNNNNNNNNNNNNNNNNNNNNNNNNNNNNNNNNNNNNNNNNNNNNNNNNNNNNNNNNNNNNNNNNNNNNNNNNNNNNNNNNNNNNNNNNNNNNNNNNNNNNNNNNNNNNNNNNNNNNNNNNNNNNNNNNNNNNNNNNNNNNNNNNNNNNNNNNNNNNNNNNNNNNNNNNNNNNNNNNNNNNNNNNNNNNNNNNNNNNNNNNNNNNNNNNNNNNNNNNNNNNNNNNNNNNNNNNNNNNNNNNNNNNNNNNNNNNNNNNNNNNNNNNNNNNNNNNNNNNNNNNNNNNNNNNNNNNNNNNNNNNNNNNNNNNNNNNNNNNNNNNNNNNNNNNNNNNNNNNNUUAUUUUUUAUGGCAAUUCAUUAUUUCUAAGAUGAGGAGAAUAAGAGAUAUUUAGUGAACAUGUAUGUUAGGCCGAUAAACCGCCCAAUAACCGCCCUAUUAGAGCUAACCCGAUAUCAAUCCGCCCGAUAUCUUAUCGGGUAGCUAACUUAUUAAUAAAUUUAAAAAUCGAUAACCGUUAAGCCAAACCGUUAAGAGUAAAAAGCCGUCCAAUCCGUCCGAUAAGCACCCAUACUCAUCAGAAAAACAAAAGAAAGCUUAUAUAGGAGACAUUGAGUGUAAUAACCUGACAUUUAAAAUGCUAUUUCAUUAGGAAAUUUUAACUCCUAUAAAAUAUUUACAUCUUAUUUAUUAUAAACUAAUAUUAUUUUUAUAUAUUAUUUUUUUAUAACUACCUUUUAUAUUUUAGAGUAAAAUAAAUACUUAUAAUAUAUACUACAAUUAAGACGUGAAAUAAAGCAUGAAAAUGCGUUAUUUGUAUUUUUCUUCUCUCUUUCUUUCAAUUAAAACAUGACUCUUUCAAAAGAUUUCUUCUUUCUCUCUCUGUCUUUUCUCUCUCUUUGAAUCAUAGAUACACGAACGAGAAACAAAUCAUGAAAGAAAGCCUAAAAAUUUUAAAAUCAGAAAUAUGAAAGUAAACCUAUAAUCAAGAAAAGAAAGCGGAGAUACCUUGGGCGAAGUAGAGAUUGAAGAGAAAAGGAAAUUAUUAGCGCGGUGAGUAAGAGAGUAAAGAGGAAGAAAUGAUCGAAUUGAAAGCGUUGCAAAUUGUAAUGGAAGAGGUAGCGAAGCGAUACAAGGAGUCUAGGCCGAAAAACGCCAUCUCCGACGAAGUUUCUUCUCUUCUUUACUAUUUAGUCACAUACAUGAUAAAAAUACAUUGUCUUCUGUACAAAUUCACUCAAACACAUAGUAUUUUUGUAUAAAUAUAUUUUUUUGCCUGUGUUUAUGUAUUUUGAAGGUCUAUAUUUUCUAAUACAGCUGAAUACACCUGUAUUUAUUCAUAUUGUACAUACAGUACUCAUGAAUAUAGGUUGUAAACAUUGAAAUACAUCGAAUGCAAACAUUAAAAUAAAACAGAAUAUAAUCAGUGAAUACAUUUAAUUUUAAAAUAUAAUAAAAUGCACUUAAUACAAAUAGAAAUAUAGUGGAUACAACCAAUCAAAUAUACUAAAUACAACAGUAAUAACAUUUAUUAUGAAUAACUAAAAUAUUGUUAAUACAAAUACAUUUGAAUAUAAUAAAUAUAAAAUAGCGAAGACAGUAAAUACAAACAUUGAAUCUAAUGAAUGCAACAGUAAAAAAAGUUUUAUAUGACUAAAAAGUCAUUCUAAUUAUAUAUGCAUAUAGCUGGACUGCUGUCACGACCCGGAAUUCCCACCAUCAGGUGUCGUGAUGACGCCUACUAACGGAGCUAGGCCAGCCAUACUUUAAACAUUGUCUGAUAAAUCUCAAUAAUGUAAAGAUACAGAAAUAUUUAAAUAAAUGUGGAAAAAAACUUUAAGUUUAAUAUGAUUGAAAUGAAAAUGUGGUAGUUUAAAAACAUAUCUCUACCCCAAAAUCUGGUAUCACUAGCUCACGGACUAUUAAAGAGUACUACAAACAAGUCUGAAUAGAAAUACAGAACGUCUGUCUUGGAAUAAAGAAAACAAACUAAACAUAGAAAAGGACUUCGGCUUGCGAACGCCAGCUAGGAAACCUCGAAGUCCCUGGACAGAAGUCAGCUCCCGAUUGAAUAGGCUACUGUUGUGGUCCAAAAUUUGCUCUGGUACCGUAGUGACGAGGCUAGACAGGACCUCGCCUGGUAAGUGUCUGGCCUAACCUCGACGAAGUAGUGUCGAGGCUAUACAGGACCUACCAAAAUUAACCGGUGCAGAUAUAUAUAUAUAUGUACAAGACAACGGAAAUAACAACAAAUAAAUACCAACAAUAAAAGGGAAAAGGGACAUGCUCGGGGAGAUACCGUAAAGAACAAUCAACGGAUAUAAAAAUGUAACCAUCUCAAUACUAUUACUCGUAUAUAUAUGUCCAAGUGGACGGCGUGCUACAGGAUCUCAUUUAUCAGUGCAUAAGUGGUCGGCGUGCCACACGAUCCCAAUUCAUAUUUCAUAGGUGGAUGGCGUGCUACACGAUCCCAUAUAAUAAUUCAUAAGUGGUCGGUGUGCCACACGAUCCCAAUUCAUAUUUUAUAAGUGGACAACGUGCCACACGAUCCAAUAUUAUAAUGAAUAGCACAAAUAAUCUCUCCAAUGGAAGUCCCAUUAGGGAAAUUCAACAACUUAACCAUUGAACCUAGCAAGGGUACAGCUAACAACCCAAAUAUCCCAGCAAGGGAGAAUUCAAUAGCAUUAGUCCACUCGUCUCGGCAAGGGAAUCAUUGCAUCACAUCUCUUUUAGUUCAUUUCAUUCUUAUCUAACACUUUACGUGGAAUUUAUCAAUUUAACAAGACAGUUGUGCCAUAUCUUUCGAAUUAAAAGCAUUUACAACUCACGGUCAUGCUAGACACCGUAGUAUAGAUACUCGUCACUAUGCCGAUACACCGUACUCUAUCAUUUAGCAAAUAGCAAUCAAAACACUCUAAUCACAUUCCCUCAAGCCAAAUUUAGAUCAAACACUUACCUCGAAAGCUCCUAACACAACUCACACCUCUAGAAUAGCUUUACCCUUAAAAUUCACCUCAAAACCAUUCGAAUCGAGUCACAAAUUACUCAAAUGUAUCAACAAAUGCUAGUUAAACCAAUUUGAAUACAUAAGAAUGAAUUUUCCAAAGUUUUGCCCAAAAAUUUCCAAAAUGCCCCGGGCCCACAAGGUCAAAUCCCAAGGUUCGACCAAAAUCGGGUUACCCAUUCCCCACGAAUCCAAAUAUAUGGCUGGCUUUGAAAUCUGACUUCCAAUUGGGGUCCAACUCUCAAAAUUUUGAAAAAGCUUAGGUUCCACCGAGAACCCUAAACUCCCAUUUAUGAAAACCAUUGAUCGAAGUUGAAAUCAUGUUAAAAGAUGUUAAGGAGUAAGGAAAUUAUGUUAGAAAUCACUUACCAAUCUUUUAGAAGGAGAAAAAUCAUUUGGAGAAUCGCCUCCUAGGUUUUGGGUUUUUGAAAAGUAGAAAAAUGUCUGAAAUUUUCGAACUUUUAUACCUUUAAGAGGACCUGGUGUGGACCGCACAAAAAUGUGUCGCGUUCGCACCAAGUGGGAGAAAAAUUAGGGCUUCUCUGAACCCUCCUAGAGCGGACCGCACUGUUUUGUUGCGCGGUCGCAUUGGUUAACCUAAAACCUUAGCCCUCAGACUUAGCCACGCGGACCGCACAGAAAGGCAUCUGGCUGCGCGGCUCCAGCGCAGAGCGCGUGGAAAUUACCUCGGCCGCGCUACUGUCUUCAACACCCGAACAUAUUUUUAUCUAAACUAAAUCCUCCCGGGCCUCACCCAAAACUCACCCAAGCCUUCGGGGCUCCAAACCAAACACACACAUGACCUCAGAAACAUCCUACAGACUCACUCGUGCGAUCAAAUCGCCAAGACAACAUCAAAAUCUACGGAUCAAGCCUCAAAACACAUAAUUUUUCCUUCAACUUUCAUAAAGUUCAAAUUUACAAUUUUACGUCGUCCGUUUCCAACCAAACUUUACAUAUGGUGCUUAACACAUAUUUAAGACUGGUACCGGACGUCGGAACCAAAUUAUGAGACUGAUACCAAUAUUUUCUAAUUCAUUUUCUUUUCAAAAUUUCAUAUCAUUUUCAGGAAAACAAUUUCUUUCAAAAAUUUUAUACUCGGGCUCAGGACCUCGGAUUUCGAUUUCAGGAAUACGCCCGAGUCUCAUAUUUUUCUAUGGACCUCCCAGGACUGUCACACUACUUGUCCGGGUCCGUUUGCCCAAAAUAUUAACCAAAGUCAACUAUAUCAAUAUUAAUAUUAAAAUUCUUCAACCUUUUUCACAGAAUUCACAUAUAUUAACAUCGAAAUUUUUCAGCUUCACGCCCGGACUGCGCACGUAAAUUGAGACAACCAAAAGCGAGCUUUUCAAGACCUCGGAAGCACAGACAAAAGGGAGAAUUACGGUGAUAACCCUUUGGGUCGUCACAUCCUCCACCUCUAAAAAACAAUUGUUCGUUUUUGAACGGACAAAAGAAAGAAGUACCUGAGUCAGGGAAUAGAUGGGGAUAACGGAUCUGCAUAUCAUACUCGGUCUCCCAGGUCGAUGUCUCAGGAGGCUGACCUCUCCACUGAACAUGCACAGAAGGAAAGCUCUUCUACUUCAUUCGUCGAACUUGCCGGUCUAAAAUGGCCACUGGCUCCUCCUCAUAUGAAAAAUCCUCGUCCAAUUGGACAGUGUUGAAAUCUAACACGUGAAAGGGAUCGUCAUGAUACCUCCGAAGCGUGGAUACAUGAAAAACUAUAUGCACAUCUGACAGGCUAGGUGGCAAGGGAAGUCUAUAAGCCACCUCUCCCACGCGAUCAAGAAUCUUAAAUGGGCCAAUAAACCUAGGGCUAAGCUUUCCCUUCUUCCCGAAUAUCAUCAAGACCUUCAUAGGCGAUACGCGGAGCAAUACUCGCGCGCCAACCAUGAAAGCAACAUCGCUGACCUUGUGAUCUAUGUAACUCUUCUGCCUAGACUGAGUCGGCCAAAGUCUGUCCUGAAUGAUCUUGACCUUAUGCAAGGCCUCCUCAACUAGAUAGGUACCGAAUAACCGAGCCUCUCCCGGCUUAAACCAUCUGAUUGGGGACCGAAACCGCCUACCAUUCAACACCUCAUACGGAGCCAUCUGAAUGUUGGACUGGUAGCUCUUGUUGUAGGCAAACUCUCCUAAAGGGAAGAACUGGUCCCACGAGCCUCCAAAAUCAAUAAUGCGGGCUGGAAGCAUAUCCUCAAGAAUCUGAAUAGUCUUCUUGGCCUGACCGUUUGUCUAGGGAUGAAAUAUUGUACUCAACUGAACCUGGGUACCAACUCCUACUGUACCGUUCUCCAGAAAUCUGAGGUAAACAGCGGGCCCCGGUUCGAAAUGAUAGAUAUAGGCACUCCAUGAAGGAGAACGAUCUCCUUGAUAUAAAUCUCAGCAUAUCUCUCGGACGAAUAGGUGGUGGCAACUGGGAUAAAAUGCGCUAACUUGGUUAGCCUAUCAACAAGAAUCCAUAUAGCAUAAACAUUCUUCCGAGUGAUCAGAAGUCCAAAAACGAAAUACAUGGUAAUCCUCUCCCACUUCCACUCGGGAAGCUCAAUCCUCUGAAAUAAACCACCGGGCCUCUGAUGCUUGUACUUAACCUGCUCACACUUCACACAACGAGCCACAUAUGCAACAAUGUCUUUCUUCAUUCUGCACUACCAAUAAUGCUGCCUCAAAUCUUGAAACAUCUUCACGGCGCCCGGAUGAAUAGAAUACCGAGAACUAUGGGCGUCCGCUAAGAUCAACUCCCGAAUACCAUCAAUAUUGGGCACACAAACUCGCCCCUGCAUUCUCAAUACACCAUCAUCUCUCAAGGUCAAUUUCUUGGCACCCCUCCGCUGCACCGUGUCUCUUAGGACACACAAAUGGGGAUCAUCAAAAUGCCACUCGCAGAUACGGUCCAUCAACGACGAACGAGCGACCGUGCAAGCUAACACCCUGCUAGGCUAAAAAAUAUCCAAUCUCACAAAUCAAUUGGCCAAGGCCUGAACAUACAAAGCAAGUGGUCGCUGGCUAACUGUAACAUAGGCAAGACUAUCCAUGUUGGCGGACUUCCUACUCAAUGCAUCGGCCACCACAUUGGCCUUUCCCGGGUGGUAUAAGAUAGAAACAUCAUAGUCCUUCCACAACUCCAACCACCUCCUCUGCCUAAAAUUCAAUUCCUUCUAUUUGAACAAGUACUGAAGGCUCUUGUGAUCCUUGUACACCUCACACGUCACACCAUAUAUAUAAUGCCUCCAAAUCUUCAAAGCAUGAACGAUGGCCGCCAACUCUAGUUCAUGAACUGGAUAAUUCUUCUUGUGGAUCUUCAACUGCCUCGAAGCAUACGCUCUGACUCUGCCAUUCUGCAUCAACAUUGCGCCAAGCACGAUAGGGUAAGCAUCACAAUAAACAGUGUAAGGCCCUUAUCCCGUUGUCAAAACCAAUACUGGUGCCGUAUUCAGAGCUGUCUUGAGCUUCUGGAAGCUCGCCUCACACUCGUCUGACAGCCUGAACUGGGCACCCUUCUUGGUGAAUGUUGUCAUCGGGGUUUCAAUGGAUGAAAACCCCUCCACGAAUCGUUAGUAGUAACAAGCUAACCCCAAGAAACUUCGGAUCUCUGUAGCUGAUGCUGGUCGAGGCUAGAUCUUGACUGCCUCAAUCUUCUUCGGGUUCACCUCAAUACCCUCUGCAGAAAUCACGUGACCCAGGAAUGCAACAGAACUCAACCAAAACUCACACUUCGAGAACUUGGCGUACAAUUGACUAUCCUUUCGAGCCUGAAGAACCACUCUGAGGUGUUCCUCAUGCUCCUCCUGACUGCGCGAGUAUAUCAGAAUGUCGUCAGUAAAAACAAUCACAAACAAAUCCAAAUAGGGCCUGAACACUCGGUUCAUCAACUCCAUAAAUGUUGCCGGGGCAUUGGUCAACCCAAAUCACAUGUUCAAUAACCCAUAAUGCCCUUAUCGAGUGCGAAAUACUGUCUUAGGGACAUCAGACGCCCUAAUCCUCAACUGAUGAUAACCAAAUCUCAAAUCUAUCUUCGAGAACACACUAGUACUCUGAAGUUGGUCGAAUAAAUCGUGAAUCCUCGGCAGUGGAUACUUGUUCUUUAUCGUCACCUUGUUCAACUGCCGGUAAUCAAUGCACAUCCUCUUCGACCCAUCCUUUUUCUUCACAAAUAACAUUGGCGCACCCCAAGGCGAUACACUGGGUCUAAUGAAACCUGAUCAAGCAGGUCCUGAAGCUGCUCCUUCGACUCUUUUAACUUUGGCGGGGCCAUGCGAUAUAGCGGAAUAAAAAUAGGCUGAGUGCCCAGAGCCACAUCAAUGCAGAAAUCAAUAUCCCUAUCAGGUGGCAUAUCUGGUAGGUCUGAAGGGAAAACCUCGGGGAACUCUCGAACAAUAGGAAUAGAGUUAAUAAAUAGAACCUCUUUGCUGGAGUCACGAACAUAUGCUAGAUAUGUUAGACACCCUUUCUAGACCAUGCAUCGAACCUUGAAAUAUGAAAUAACACUACGGGUGGCAUGAUCUGGGGUCUCUUUCCACUCAAGUCGGGGCAAGUCUUGCAAAGCCAAGGUCACGGUCUUGGCGUGGCAAUCCAAAGUAGCAUGAUACGGGGACAACCAAUCCAUUUCUAAUAUAACAUCGAAGUCCACCAUAUAUAAGAGCAAUAAGUCGACACGGGUCUCAAGACCCCCAAAUAAUACCACACAUGAAUGAUGCACUUGGUCGAUCACUAUUGAAUCACCCACCGGUGUAGACACAUAUACAAGAAUACCCAAGGCCUCACUAGGCAUAACCUUAUAGGGUGCAAAAUAGGACGACACAUAUGAAUACGUAGAUCCUGGGUCAAAUAACACAGAAGCAUUCCUAUCACACACCAGAAUUGUACCAGUAAUCACAACAUCUGAUGACUCGGCCUCUGGCCUAGCUGGCAAAGCAUAACAACGGGAUUGGGACCCACCUCCUUGAAGUGCAUCUCUAAGACGAUCGGCUACUAGGUGACCCCUACCUCCAUCUAUAUGGCCUCUACCCCCGCCUCUAGCUGGCUGGGCAGUGUAGGGAUCACCUGCUGCUUGAAUCAUGAGGCGAGGACCCUGCUGCUGAGAGCUGUCAAAUGCUUGUGGGCAAUACCUGGUAAUAUAUCUCGUGUCGCCACAUGUGUAACAAGCCCUCGGCUGCGGAAAAUAACGGAGUGGUGGUGCGCUGAUAUGUGCUGACGGUGAGCUAGAAAGUUGCUAGUCAGAAUACUAUGGCUGGGAACCACGACCACCUGUAGUACCAUCUGAAACCUAAAGCGCUGACUGAAAGGGCCUCUGAGGGUGGCAUCUACCAUUUGAAUCCCUACCUCCAGAUUAGGUACCACUGAACCUACCAGAAUAACGAGGUCUCUUAUCUAACCCAUGGCUACCUCCUCGUACAAGUGCUAUCUCUAUCCGAUGGGCCGCAAUUGCCGGCUCCUGAAAAGACAUAUCACUACCGCCUCCCAUAGUGAUUUGAAGACGGAUCGGCUGAAUCAACCCCUCAAUAAAUCUCUGUACCCUCUCCCUCUCAGUAGGGAGUAUAACAAUAGCAUGGAAUGACAAAUCAAUAAAAUGAGGGUCAUACUGCGUAACUGUCAUAGUACCCUGAUGAAGACGCUCAAACUGCCUGCGUAGAGCAUCUCGCUCAAUCACCAGGAGAAACUUCUCCAAGAACAACUCUGCAAACUGAUCACGAUCAAUAAUGGCGACCCUGCUAGUCUAGAUAAACAAUAGUCCCUCCACCAAGUCUUGGCGGAUCCUGCAAGCUGAAAACUAGUGAAGUCGACCCCAUUGGUCUCCACAAUACCCAUAGAUUUGAGAACCUCAUGGCAACUGAAUAAGAAGUCCUGGGGGUCCUCUGUAGAAACACCACGGAAGGUGGUGGUGAAGAUCUUGGUGAACCUAUCAAGCCUCCCCAAAGCAUCCGCGGACUUUGCCGCACCUCCGCCAGCCUGAGCUGGAAUAUCCGGCUGGGCUGCCAUAGCUGGCUGAACUGCUGGAACCUGAGGCUGAGGAGAUACCUUCUCCGGAGUACGCGUAGCGGGAGUCUAAACUCCUCCCCCAGCCUGAGAUGUGGCUAGUGCUGCGGGAAGCAGACCCGCUCUAGAGACACUCUCCAUAAAGCCUACCAGUCGAACCAAAGUAUCUUGGAGUACUGGAGUGGCUAUGAAACCCUCUAGGACCUGAGCUAGGCCCACUAGAUUUGCUGGUGCUGGAACCUCCUCAUCAUAGUCAACAUGAGGCUCCAUAUCUGGGACUGUUGUUCGGGGCUGAGCUUUGCUCUGCCUCGCCCUAUGGCACGGCCUGGGUCUCGCCCUCUGCCCCUAAUAGGAGCUGCUGCUAGGGGCUCGGGCUGCUGUGCUGUUGAAGAAGAGCACGUGUUCUCGCCAUCUGCGAAAGAAUAGAGUAGAAUGACAAUCAAUAUUUGAGAAAUAAAAUGGCACGACAAGAAUGAACGAAGUGAAAUUUUCCUAACUCUAUAGCCUUUAUGGGAUAAAUACAGACGUCUCCGUACCGAUCCCUCAGACUCUACCGAGCUUGUCCGUGAGUUGUGAAACCUAUGUAACCUAGUGGUCUGAUACAACCUUGUCAUGACUCUGAAUUCCCACCAUCGAAAGUCGUGAUGGCGCAUACUAAUGGAGCUAGGCCAGCCAAACUUUAAAUAAUAUAAAUAUACGGACACAAUUAAAUAAAAGUGAGAAAAAACUUAAAGUUUAAUAGGAAUGAAAUCAAAAUGUGGAAGUUUAAAAACAUAUCUAUACACCAAAAUCUGUUGUCACUAGCUCACGGACUACUAAAGAGUACUACAAACAAGUCUGAAUAGAAAUACAGAACGUCUGUCUCGGAAUAAGGAAAACAAACUAAUCAUAGAAAAAGGACUUCGGCCUACGAACACCAUCUAGGAUACCUCAAAUUCCCUAGACUAAAGUCAGCUCCCGAUCGAAUAGGCUAGUGUUGUAGUCCAAAAGCUGCUCUGGUACCGUAAUCUGUGAAAAAAGCACAGAAACGUAGCAUCAGCACAACCGACCACAUGUAUUGGUAAGUGCCUGGCCUAACCCCGCCAAAGUAGUGACAAGGCUAGACAGGACCUACAAAAAUUAACCUGUGCAGAUAUAUAUAUGUAUAAGACAGUGAAAAUAACAACAAAGAAAUACCAACAGUAAAAGGGAAAAGGGGCAUACUCGCGGAGAUAGAGUAAAGAACAAUCAACAGAUAUAACAAUGUAACCAUAUCAAUACUAUAACUCGUAUAUAUAUGCCUAAGUGGACGGAAUGCCACACGAUGCCAUUUAUCAGUGCAUAAUUUGUCAGUGUGCCCACGAUCCCAAUUCAUACUUCAUAGGUGGACGGCGUGCCACACGAUCCCAUAUUAUAAUUCAUAAGUGGUCGGCGUGCAACACAGUCCCAAUUCAUAUUUCAUAAGUGGACGGUGUGCCACAAGAUCCCAUAUUGUAAUGAAUAGCUCAAAUAAUCUCUCCAAGGGAGGUCCCAUUAGGGAAAUUCAACAACUUAACCAUUAAACCCUGCAAGGCUACAUCUAACAGCACAAAUAUCCUGGCAAGGGAGAAUCAAUAGUAACAAUCCACUCGUCCCGGCAAGGGAAUCAUUGCAUCACAUUCUCUUUUAGUUCAUUUCAUUCUAUCUAACACUUUACGUGGAAUUUAACAAUUUAACAAGACAGUUGUGCCGUAUCUUUCGAAUUAAAAACAUUUAUGACUCACGGUCAUGCUAGACACCGGUGUAUAGAUACUCGUCACGAUGCAUAUACACCAUACUUGAUCAUUUAGCAAAUAGCAAUCAAAACAAUCUAAUCGUAUUCUCUCAAGCCAAAGUUAGAUCAAACACUUACCUCGAAAGUUCCAAACUCAACUCAAGCCUCUAGAAUAGCUUUACACUUCGAAUUCACAUCAAAACCGUUCGAAUCUAAUCACAAAUUACUCUAUUGUAUAAGUAAAUGCUAGUUAAACCAAUUUGAAUGCAUAAGAAUGAAUUUCCCAAAGUUUUGUCCAAAAAUUCCAAAAAUGCCCACCGCAUCCACGUGGUCAAAACUCGAGGUUCGAACCAAAACCGAGUUACCCAUUCCCUCACGAAUCCAAAUAUAUGAUUGGCUUUGAAAUCGAACCUCCAGUUGGGGUCCAACUCUCCAAAUUUUAAAAAAACUUAAGCUCCACCCAAAACCCCAAAUUCCCAUUUAUGAGAACCAUUGAUUGAAGUUGAAAUUAUGUUAAAAGAUGUUAAGGAGUAAGGAAAUUAUGUUAGAAAUCACUUACCAAUCUUUUAGAAGGAGAAAAAUUGUUUGGAGAAUCGCCUCCUAGGUUUUGGGUUUUUUAAAAGUGAAAAAAUAGCUGAAUUUUUCAAACUUUUAUACCUUUGUGAGGACCUGGCGCGGACCGCACAAAAAUGUGUCGCGGCCACGCUGGUUAACCUGAAACCCUAGCUCUCAGACUCAGCCACGCGGACCGCACAGAAAGGCAUCGCUGCCGCGCGGCUGCAGCGCGGACCGUGCGGAAAUGACCGCGACCGCGCUAGUGUUUGCAAUACGUGAACAUAUUUUUCUCUAAGUCUAAUACCUUCCGGGCCUCACCCAAAACUCACUCGAGCCUUCGGGGCUCCAAACCAAACACAGACACGUCCUGAGAAACAUCCUACAGACUCACUCGUGCGACCAAAUCACCAAGAAAAAAAUCAAAAUCUACGGAUCAAGCCUCAAAACACAUAAUUUUUCCUUCAACUUUCAUAAACUUUAAAUUUCCCAUUUUACGUCCGAAACACGUCAAACGACGUCUGUUUCCAACCGAACUUUACAUAUGGUGCUUAACACAUAUAUAAGGCCGGUACCGGGCAUCCGAACCAAAUUACGAGCCUGGCACCUAUAUUUUCUAACUCAUUUUCUUUUCAAAAUUUCAUAUCAUUUUUAGAAAAACAAUUUUGUUCAAUAAUUCUAUACUCGGGCUCAGGACCUCGGAAUUCGAUUCCGGGAAUACGCCCGAGUCCCAUAUUUUUCUGCGGACCUUUCGAGUCGUCACAUCAAGGGUCCGGAUCCGUUUGCCCAAUAUGUUGACCAAAGUCAACUAUAUCAAUAUUAAUAUCAAGAUUCUUUGAAUUUUUCCACAGAAUUAACAUAUUUUAACAUAGAAAUUUUUCAACUUCGUGCCCGGACUGCGCAUGCAAAUCGAGGCGACUAAAAGCAAGAUUUUCAGGGCCUUGGAAAUACGGAAAAGGAAGAAUUAAGGUAAUGACGCUUUGGGUCGUCACAUCUGCAUUUGAUUUUAGAUGCUUUUGGUGUUAUAUUCAUGAAUAUAUGACACAAAUACAUGUGAAUACGAACUGCCCUGACUUUUAGACACAACAAAUACACUACCAUAAUAAUUGGAUAAUUGUAAUAAAAAAUAAUUAUAUAUAUGAUAGCUAUAGACAUAGAAAGUUAAUAAUCACGAAGAAAUAGUGAUUUCUCAAAAUUUCUCGUAUAAGUAACAAUCCCAAUAACACUAUUCCUAUUUCAAAUGAUUACUGUAGAUUUGAGGCAUUGUGCCUAUUUGUCAUUUUUGCAAUACUGUACAAUUCCAUGAAUUAUUCUAAUUAGCUCUGCUUCUUUCAAGUGAAAAAAACACCCAUUAUUUUAUUGUCUAUAACCAGUGCACCAAUUUUUUGAAAAGACUGCGGUCCAAUAAUAUUUCCGGCCAUAUUUCUUGCAACAUUAAUAAGGAAAAUUUGCGACCUUGUUCCUACAAUACUAUUGUAACAACUGUUUGCUUUUCCAUAUUUUCAAAUUAUAAGCAGAGUCAAGUUUGUUUUUCCACCUUGAGUUUGAAAAAGCGUCCAGGCUUUGAGUAGUGUUGCAGCUAAAAUGUUAGUGCUGGAAAUUUUUAAAAAUGUAAAAUUCUAACUUAGAUGUUGCCUCCUGUUGCAACACCUAGAUUUCUCUUGUAUUCAUCAAAUGAUCAAUACAUGUCAUCUCUUAUUCUCUCACUUUUGACACCAAAAUUUUCUGCAAAAGCUGAAUGAAUAAUUCAAAUAAUACAACAGGACUAUACAGGUAAUCUAUGAUUUGAACAAACAUGAUCAUGCAGAAAAAGAGAAACAGAAGAACAAAAUACAGCAUUCCCGGGGCAGAGUUUAAUAAGGUUUCCAACACUCAGAAGAAUUCAAAGUCUGAUGUAAUUUAGAGCUUACGAGGAAGCAAGGGAUCCAGUUUCGAGGGGCUCGCUGAUUUCAAGAAGCUCAUUACAAAGACCAGUAAAAACAACAGAAUCUGUUUCUAUAGGUUUAAAUUUGAGUAGAGCUGCAGGAACCAAAUCCUCUUCUUCAACUGUUACAGCCCUCUCCCCAGCAGCUGGAAAAUGGGGAAUCACCCGCUUUUUAACAAGCACCGGAUGUAACAAUUCAAACUCUAAGCUUGGUUCCUUUAACGCCGCGCUCACAAACUAGAAAGUAAAAAAGGAACAAAAUAUGAGGAAGAAAAAUCAAAGAGAAAAAAAUAAAGUUAAAAGCACAUGUCUACACCAGAUUACCAAUCAAUCAUCACAUGGAACAAUAGAUAUUGAAAAAGUACCCCCACAAUGCUCAGAAAACAAAAUGUUUCCAGCUUAUUAGACAUUUAAUUUUCUAUUCACAUGAGAUAAGACAUGGAAUUUCUACUUUAGUAAUAUAGUUGACCUUUAUUUUCUUUUACUUAUCUUUUUCCUUUUUUAUACUGUUGGUGAAUCCAUAGCACCUCUUUAUCCUAUUUCUAUUAGCGUAACCAAAUGAAAAAACGCCUGGCAAGAACUUCAUUGGUGACACCACAAUGAUUAAUGGAAUUUCAAAUCUAACUACAAAAAUGGUCCGCGCAGUACGAGCAGGGAUCUUUUUUGUAAAGAUUAACUCAUCCCCCAUGCCCCACCACCCUCCUAAUUCUCUACAAGUAAAAUUUUCUCAUCACUUUUUGUCCUUUCUAUCUUAAUGUCAUUGCAAGCAAGUAUUGUGAUAUCAGAAAGAAACUGAAUUGACUCCCAACACCCCUUACCUUGAACUUUACGAGUCUUUUAAUAAUACCAUUGUACCGUGUACAGAAUAUUUUGAAAACUUAAAGCUUAUUCAUAUCGCAUUCUACUUGGUAUAUUCUAAUGAUGAGCCAUAAUUCUUUGACGCACUCAACUGAGUGAGGACAAUGAGAGAGAGAGAGAGAGAGAGAGAGAGAGAGAGAGAGAGAGCGCUCAAAUGGUACAAGAUGUAGGUUAUGAGCCAACCAUACAAGGAGUUAAAGAGAUAUCAAUCGAUCGAUCAAUCGGAGAGAAGGGGGAGCGGGGGGUGAAGAAAUCUUUUAUUGCUCUACAAAAAGUAAUGCAUUGUGUACUUAGUAAUUUGGAAAUAAAGGAAGAUUUUCUUUUGAAUGUAAAAGAAGUUCCUUGCAGAAAAUCCAUUAAAUUUCUUACUAAAUUAGAUUUAGUAACUUGUCAACAAAUAUAAUAACAUAAAAGGCCAAGUACCAACCUCAGUAAAUCUUUUGAAAACUUAAAGCUUAUUCAUAUCGCAUUCUACUUGGUAUAUUCUAAUGAUGAGCCAUAAUUCUUUGACGCACUCAACUGAGUGAGGACAAUGAGAGAGAGAGAGAGAGAGAGAGAGAGAGAGAGAGAGAGAGCGCUCAAAUGGUACAAGAUGUAGGUUAUGAGCCAACCAUACAAGGAGUUAAAGAGAUAUCAAUCGAUCGAUCAAUCGGAGAGAAGGGGGAGCGGGGGGUGAAGAAAUCUUUUAUUGCUCUACAAAAAGUAAUGCAUUGUGUACUUAGUAAUUUGGAAAUAAAGGAAGAUUUUCUUUUGAAUGUAAAAGAAGUUCCUUGCAGAAAAUCCAUAAAGUUCUUACCAAAUUAGAUUUAGUAAUUUGUCAACAAAUAUAAUAACAUAAAAGGCCAAGUACCAACCUCAUAAAGAGCACUAGUUGGCUCCGAAGGUAGAAAGACACCUUGAAGCAAUACUCCAUCUGGAAACUGUAUUCGGAUAAUGGAUUUUGUGUACUUCUUUCUUGCAGCUUUUGCCUGCUUUUCCCGAUAAGAUUUAGGAAUCAAUAAUUUGGAAUCUUCUAAUUUCUUCUUCCUCAUCUCUGAUUCUCUUCUCAAUUCCUCACGUGAGAGGUUAAAGAAGGAAUCAGGUAGCUCAAUUUUUGCUGCUACGCUCUCGGGAACAGAAAAGAACACUCGAAUCUGUUAGGAUAUAGAAAUAAAAAUGUCAGAGGCAGAAAGGACCAAUAUAGCGUGAGCACUGAACAAAAUGUCAUACAAAUAGGAUAAUUACUAUGUAGUUUCAAAAGUCUGAAAAGUGAUAUAUGUAACUUUCCAAAUUAAGCUUGACCAUAUUCACCAUUAUAAGAUUUGACUGUAUUUACCAUAAUUAAGCUUGAUCAUAAAAGUCUAUAGAGGCAAGACAAUAUUCCAGUUUUCGAACGAAUAGAAAUAAACCUAACAAAUUAAUUCUAAAGCAAAUUCAUGAAGUUUGAUCAUUACGUAAAUGUUAAGAAACAUAUAAGUAAAGAACAGCACAAGUAGUUCUUUCCUAAAAACAUAAAUGAGAUAAUUACAUAAUUCAGUAAGAAACUGACCAACUAAACAACAAAAAGUUCAAGUUAAAUUUUAUCUUUCCAAAUUUAACCUCAUGUAAUCAUGAGUGUGUGUUCGCGCAUGCUAACGCCGCCACCCGCCGCCCGUCGUGUCAAAAUCAUAGUUAACACAGAAGGUAAUGCACUUAAGAAUCAUUUACGGAUACAAGCAUAGAAUAACACAAUCGAAGAAGGAUUUGGAACUGUUACCCUUUUGUUUAACUCAUUUUUACACAAAAUAAUUAAAUUCAUUAAAUAUGUAUUCUAACAGAAUUGCAUCAUUAUUUCCUCGAGAUGAAACUGGAUGUCUUGCCAGAUAAAGUAAAUUCAUUGAGAAAAUCUUUUGAAAUAUAUAUAAAAAAAUAAAAAAAAUAAAAAACUAUUUUAUCAAUUUAGGAUAUGUUGUGAUGUGAUCUUAACCGCUUAAUGCAAACUUCUGUUGGAUAACCUAAUGUUAUCCAUUCUUUUCAUCCCUGAAAACUGAUCUGUUAUAUACCGAGACACAAAUAUGUCUGAAAAUAGAAGACAUUGCUUGAGGUUUCUAGGAAUUGUUAGGUUGUUCUGUAACCAGGACUAGCACCUAUUAGAGGAGGCCCAACAUAAAAAGACACUUGAAGCGCCCUGAAGCAUGGUGGGGAAUUUACUUCGACAUUACUAGUGCCGAAGUGCCAUGUUAUCAAACAAUCUUACGAUCCUAGGAGAUAGGGUGAGAAGAGGGAAUGAGUGUGAGCGAAGCAAUCUUAUGACAGGGUUCGGUAGCUCCUGAAAACUCAAGGAGAGGCCACUGGUUUUAAUUCCUUCAAAAAUAACUUUCCUUAAAGACUAGGUCAUACAUGAAAACCGAUGAAUAGAAAGUAGUUCAAAGUUAAAAAAAUGUUUUUAACAUGCUUUUUCCUUCCCCUUUUUGGAUAUAUAUCUCUUUAAAAGCUUAAGAGUUUUUCCUAAAUUUUUAGUUUAGUGUAAUUAUUGCAGCUUUAUUUGAUUUUGGAAGCUUCUGUGGCUUAUAGAAGGUUUUAUUUAACCCAGGAAGCCAUCGAAACCAAAUUUAAGGUAGCGUAUCCGAGUUGUAGUUGUAACAGAGUGAUAGACAGAUAGACACGGCACCCCAACCAAAGCAAAGGAAGAAAACAAAAAAUAUAAGGAAAUAAAAAAAGGAGUGGAAGAAAUAUGUCUGGUGACUCCUUAUAGAAAAAAAUAGAAAGAAACUUGUCUGGUGACCAUAGUGGUUGCUACUUGCUAGUGACUUCCCAACUACGCGAACCUGAGCAGAACUGCAGAAGGAACCCCCCCNNNNNNNNNNNNNNNNNNNNNNNNNNNNNNNNNNNNNNNNNNNNNNNNNNNNNNNNNNNNNNNNNNNNNNNNNNNNNCCCCCCCCCCCACAAAAAAAACGAAAAGAAAAGGAGAAAGUAAAUGAAGAGGAAAGGAGCACAAAAAAUCCACCAAUAUAAGCCACACUGGUCUUUCAAGGGUGUAUCAGAUAAAGGUUAAAUGCCCUUAAAUGCUCAUCAAUAAGGUACAUUUUUGCCAAUCUUACUUAUGGAUAAACUAUAUUGAGAAACAAAUCCUUACAAUAGAUUGUGAAUAAUGUAGCUUUUGGUUGGAAAAACUGUAAAGCAUUGGUUUCUAUAAGAAAGAUAAAAAAAAUAAGGAAUUUAGCACACAAUUCAAAGAAAUUUUAGUACAAAAUAUCCAGUGUUCUCUCACAGAUACUUGCUUUCCUAGCACCGAUUCACGCAUACAGAAAAUGAUCAUAAUUCAAAAAUCUGAGUAUCAUUUGGCUAUAAGAAGUAGGGUAUUAACUCCAGUUCAAAAUGCUAAAAGUAGCAUGUGAACUACAUUAGUAGAAAGCACCUGAACAUAUAGUAGUGGAGCUUCGGAUGUGAUUUAUCUUUUUCUAGUCACUUGCUCCAACGGCCUAAAUCUAUUGUUGAUUCUUAAUAUACACAACUGAGAGAGACUCAAAGAAUUAGGAUUUCACAAUGCUAAUCCACGUCUUUAUCUCAAAAUCAAUGUUCUCUCUCAUAUAAGGCGUCAGCACCAGAAGAUUUAUUCUCAUCGCAGUUUAUUUCAGACUCUCGGUAAUAAUUCUUCACCGAACAUUUUGUUGCAUUGAACUCAUAAGACCUUUAAACUUGUGGGAUUCUUAACAGAGACUAAAUCAUGAUUAUACACGGCAACAUUUUAAAUAUCUAAUCGAAUAUAGCAAAAUGUAGGAUAUUAGCUUAUGACUUUAGCAGUUAGAUAAGAUUCUCCUAUAACAUCCAAUUCGUUUUACACAUUGGAAGACAUAAGUGACAUAACAUUUGAAACUAAAGAAUAAUUUUAAACUCAUGAAGCAUUGAUUAUUGAGAAAACAUGAAAAACACAAAUAAUAUGCUCCAACAAUUUUACAGAUUCUAGCAUCCCAAAUAUAUAUUCAACUCUUUCCACUUCAGAACAAAAUUCAAAAAUAAUUAAUUCGAUUAUUGUUCUAAAGAUUUGGAGUUAGACACCAAAGAGAAAUAUUUUGGCAAAAUGAAAGAGUGGGGGUGAGUGUCCCGUCACAUAGGAUUGACACGGUAGCUGAAUUGUAAAAAAUAGGACACAACAGCGGGUGUUCGACAAGUUGAGAACUAAGUAAUGGUGUUCAAGUGAAGGUUCAUCAGUUUACAUAAUUAAGUAAUAUCUCUAAUAAAGAAGCCUAACCCAAAGUAACUGCAACAUACUAAAGCUUUUUAAUGCAUCAUACUGGAAACAGGAAAUGAGUAAUUUUAUGUCGUAGUAAUCAAUCUAACACGAAAGAGUCAUGCCUAGAAUGUCUAGUCAAGCAUUUUCUGUCUACCACCUAACAUAGAGAAUAACAAUCGGUCACGUCAAUUUGUGCAUAAAUAAUAUGUUGCAUCUACCCUCAUAUCCUGAAUUCACCUUCAUAGGAACCAUAUGGUUGGCAUUUUAUUACAGUUCUCAUUGAAGAAUAAUUCAGACCAAAGACAUGUCAGUACUACCACUCUGUAGCUCUCCUUGCUAAAUCCCGAUAACCAUGCGGCAUGGUUACUUAACAGAAAACAAAAGGGAAAACAAAACAUCAAUCUUCCACCUCGUUCAUAUCUGUUAUGAACGAGAAACAGAGAGAGAAGGAGAGAAGAAACAGAACGAAGAAAAAAAAAACGUGAACUCAAGAACAGAAGAAGAAAAAAAUUAAGAAGAAGAAGAAGAUCGACUGGGUCUCGUCGACUGAAGAAGAAGAUGGAAGAAGAAGAAAAAAGAAAAAAACAAGAAGAAAGGAGAAGAAAAAAAUACCUGGGUUGGGAUGAAACCCUAAUUUUCUGCAACUGGAGAAGAAGAAGAGAGGCUGGUCCACCUCUGUUUGGGACUAAUAUAGGUAUUUUUGAGACCCCAAAGUUUUUUUUUUUAAAAAAGACCUCUGCAUGCGCUUUCUUCAAUUAAGCGAUCGCUUUUGCGCUUCGAUCGCUUCUGCGCGUUUGCGCUUCUGCCAUGGAAGCGAUCGCUUCUCUAGGUCGCCUCGCUUCAGCCUGCAAAAAGCGAUAGAGGGUCGCUUCGCGUCGCUUCGCGCUUUAAGCGACGAAGCGACUGCUUUACAAAACACUGUGGACCAUGCCAAGGACCAAUAAACCGAAACCACCAGCUAGAUGCUCGGGUCCCUUUCUAGAGGAAAUACAUAUUACCAUGAAAUGAUACACCUAAUUAACAUAUUGCCUGCAUACGAGUUUGUCUAUCUGUGUCCCAGAGGAUUAACUAUAACGAGUGUGAAUUUUAUGAAAAAACAUAAAAGAAUAUGGAGUCAACGAAUCCAAUGUGCCAUCUCAGAAGGAACAUGAAAGAAAACCAAUAAAGAAAUAGUUAUUAUAGCUUUAAGUAUCAAUCUGCAUUCUCUCAAACAUCUAUGUCCAGUUGAAUCUAUGUUGCUCGGGCUCUUCAAACAUAUUGAUGGGUGCAUGUCGGAUCCUCCAAAAGUAGUGCAUUUUUGGAGGACCCCGCAUGGUAUGAUAAUACAUUUGGAGACCGAGCAACAUACUUGAUAAAUAAACCAAGAAAGAAGCUAUAGUAUCCUGACACAAAAAUAGCAGAAUUUCCUCAUCAAUUGCCUAAUAAGAAAUAAAGUAGCCAUUACCUUUUAAGAAGAAGUUAUGGACUUAAAACAAUGGUGCUAUGUGAGUAUUUUAGUACGAAAACAUCAUUCAUCAAUUCUCAUUAGUAAGGGCUUUACUUGAUGGGAAGUACAAGUAAAGUAGCCAAGUUGCUACAUCAUGUUCAACUAAGAGAAAUAAUUGGAUGCCGAGGAAAUUAUAUCGCUGAAGCAUCAGGAAACAUAAUACUAUUCAGUAGUAUCAAUGAGUUUCAUUCGAGCACUAGUAAAAGAAAGCUUUAACAUUGUAUAUAGGAAUUUAAAAGAACAUGGAAACAAAAAGACCGAAUUAUUACCAAAAGUUAUCCAAAUACUACCUGUCUAUCAAUCUUCUUCGGCUCAACUGGUUCACUCGCCUUAACUUGAGAUACCGACACCAACUCUUCAACCUUCUUCGGUUCCAAGAGUGAAACUACUUUCUUAAGCAUAACAAGUUGUUCUUCGGAAGGAACAUCCAUCACAGCCCAAAUUUCCCCACCUUCU